rnacentral:lncRNA from 1 species
UCUGCAGCACUCAACCAAAAAAGGUUACAUUCGUCAAAAUUUUUGCAUCCAUAUAUUAAUUAGAGAAUGAUUGAAGUAUCCCCAGCGGCGCCCUUGUCGAGUUCGAAUUCUCAGGAGAUAGAGAGUUAUAAAACUGAUUUGGGUUUCGUCCAUUUCUUUAAAUUUAAAAAAAGAAAAAAGAAAAAAGAAAACAGAAAGAUCGAUUCAAGUAUUCAGAUCAUGCAUGUACCUUGAGAAACAGGAUAGCCAUGUUGUCUAAGUAGUCUGAAUUCAAGGGAGGUUGCAUACAGAUUUUCUUUUCUCCAAACAUAAUCGUUAUUACUGUUGUAGAUAUCAUGCAAUAUGUUCCGAAUCUCAGUCUCAAAAUGAUAAGCCAAUCCAAGUCUUUGCAAGCUGUCAAUCAGCUCCAACUGAUUCAGAGGCUCGGUUACAUCCUUAAUCGUUGUCAUUACUUUUCCCUUCAGCUCUUCUUCUCGUCUUUUGUAUGUUUCAUCCUGUACAUGCACAGCAUUUAGUUUUUAGUUAUUCAUGGUCCCAGUUUGAAAUCAACAAAGGAAAUUAAUACGUAAUAAUAAUGAUGAAUACCGUAUAGUUGCUAUUCAAUGACUGCAAAAAAUCAUGGUCCCAAAUUGAAGGUUGGUAGUUUGCUGAUCUCCUAUCAACUGUCAAAUUAUCAUAUUUGGCGCUGACAAGGCAUUGGACUGGCUUAUUUUUUGCCAUGAUUCUGAUGGCUGCUUUAUUUGUUGCAAGAGGAAGACAUUUGAAACCAUUUACAGAGGUAACCAAGGUUGAGGGAUUAAUGCAAGAAGACAUUGGAUGUACAGAUGUAGUGUAAGCUAGCUUACAGUUGUACUUGGCAAAGAUUCUCAAAUUAAUCUAUGGUCUGUGGUGAUGUACGAGGUUAUAUAUAUAUAGGCAGAGGAGAAGCUCAUGUGAUUUAUUUUUCUUACUCAUUUUUUCUGAGUUUUGAAAGCGUUUAAUUUUUAAGUCUUAAUAGUACAAAGAUAUUUUAUUAAUUUGGGGGGGGGGGGGGGGGGGGGAAUACAUCGUAUUGGAGGUGUAUUUGAUUAACUCAUGUGCAUAACUCAAUUGGUGGGACAAACAAUGUCUUAAGAAAAGCGAAAUUCGUAAUGUGCCUCGAAGUACACAUCCAUUUUCUAUAGUUUACCUAUUACUAUUAUUUUUGUAACACCCUAGGCGAAUCCCACAUCAACAGAACACGGGAGAAAUGCUAGUUUUAUAAGAGGUGAUUCACAUCUUAAUUGGCAAGAUACGUUUGGGCUGUAUGGGCGCCUCAAGAACAAAACCGUGCGGGCUUUGUUAAGGCCCAAAGCGAACAAUAUCUUGACAAGUCUGAAUUUGGUCAUGACAGAUGAUAUCAGAGUGGCUCCGCAUGUCCUCUUGAGCGAUGGUGGGACAAACCUCAGCGAGUACUCUGAGUCAUUAAGGGGGGUGUAUGUAAUAACACCCUAGGCGAAUCUCACAUCGGCAAACCACGGGAGAGAUGUUGGGUUUAUAAAAUGUGAUCCACACCUUAAUUGGUAAGACAUGUUUUAGGGUGUAUGGGUGCCCCAGGAACAAAACCGUGCGGGUCUUUUUAAAGCUCAAAGCGGAUAAUAUCUUACCAGGUUUGGGUUGGGUCAUGACAAUUUUCUUGUACCUACAAAGUUAUAAACACAUUAAUUUAUUAAAAUAAAGUUCCACCUUUAUUAUUGCAAUUCUCUACAUUUAUUAUUCCCCACAAAUAUAUAUCUCGGCACUUAGUAGAUAGAUUAUUUUAUUAUAACUAUCAAUAGAUUUUACUUGCAUAAUAGAUAUUGAUGAAAUUAUAUAGAGUAAUUUCGUCCAAUUAUAUUAAUCGUUUAUGAAUUUCAUCACAAAUUUAUAUGUGGCCAAUACCGUGCAAGUGAAAAUUAUUUUGAGUUUUAUCCACCCGUUUACCAUUUCAAUAUAUAAAACUCUCCUAUUGCUUUAAAGUGUCAUUUUUUAUUUUAAACAAGUCUCAGCCAAAGAUUAAAUUGUCAUCUGUUCGCAAGAUAUUCAGCACAACACUUGAGCGAAAUUUCUUCAUCCUUGAGCGGAAAAUACAAAGAAACACAUAGUUCGCAAUUUUAGUAGCAAAAUUAAUAUUUUGUUCCAUAUGGGGUAAAUCUUCAGGAGGCCCAACUUCAAACUUAAAAUGUUAAUUUUAAGUUAUUAUGUAGUCGUUAGGAAUUUCGGAAUUUGAGAAUUUUGAUUGUUGCUGCAGGCUGCAGCGAUUUUGUCAUGGCGACUUUGAUUCAUAAUUGAAGUACUGUUGCAAGUAAAACUAAAAAAAUAAUUAACAAAAUAAAAAAAAAUCGAGUUACUUGAUUUUAUAUGUAUAAAGUUUAUAUAUCAAGUGCUUAGGGGUCGAAUCAGUCUUCUUAUACCUAAUUUUUAAUAUUUCACUUCGAAACCUCAAAAUUUUUCAAAGCUCGUAGGGUCACAAUCCCCGCUAGGAGUGGGCAAAUUUGUGUUCAGAUCAACUUGUUUGAGUUUUGGGUUGAUUAGGUUAGAAUAUUCAGAUUGGAUUGGAUUAGAUCAAAAUCAAAAAGUAUGAGAGAAAUUAAUUGACUUCUCCCAAGAAAAAUACAUACUGAUGAUUGAUAUAUAACCAUUAAAUAAUAAAUAUGUUAGACUUACUUUAUUUUUUAGCCCUAAAUAAUAAAAAGGUUUAUUAUUGCUUGACUUUUCGAGUUUAAAAUUUGAAUGUCAAAUUAGAUAAAAAGUUAAAAAAUUAUUUUGAGUUUUAUCCACCCGUUUACCAUUUUAAUAUAUAAAAGUCUCCUAUUGCUUUAAAGUGUCAUUUUUUAUUUUAAACGAGUAACAGCUUUGUCCUGCUUCAUGUGCCUCCGCUCUGCAUCUUCCAGCACAGCUUGAAUGUCUUGAAGAUUGGUAGUAAGCUUUCCCACUUCUUGUUCGACACUCGUCACAAGCCUCCACUUUUCUUUCACCUGAUCUUGAGCAAUGGAAUUCAGCUGGUCCAAGAGAGAGGAAACGAUCGCAUGAGCCAUUCUGAUAUUAGAUCAAAUGGUAAAUGCUGCAAUUGCUUUUCUUGCUAAAAUGCUCAGAGGAAAGUAGCUUUUAUGUAUUCUGUGAGAAUGUUCAUUCAAGCAUGUUUGCAUAUUCUUCUUAUAGCAUAGGAGAUAUUUAAUUUUUAUCCUUGAGUCAAUGCCAAUGUGAACGUUCUUUUGUGCUGCAAAUUAAAGGAGUCCCCACACAUGGGUUCUUUUGUGCACGACAAGAUGCACAUGGGUUCACAGCAUCAACCCAAUGUGAACGUUCUGGGGCUAGCUUUCUGAUCCACCACGUCAAUAAUUGUACAGCAUCUGCCCUGUUUCUCUGAUUCAUAAUAAUUAUUCAGAGUACUCAGCAUCUGCUCCACCACGUCAAUAAUUGUACAGCAUCUGCCCCGUUUCUAUGAUUCAUAAUAAUUAUUCAGACUACUCAGCAUCAGCUCCUGUAAAAUUUCUUAUGUACUAAGCAACAAAAUAUUUGUGAACUACAACAAAAGGCUUAGAUCAAUCCACCGAUGAACCUUCUGAAGUUAUAUGUAAUCUAUUAAUUGUUGAUCUAGAAUAGUCUUAGUGGAUAGAUUUUUUUUUAUUAUAAAUAUCAAUAAAUUUUUUAUCGUCUAAUAGAUAUUGAUGAAAUUGUAUAGAGUAAUUUCGCCCAAUCAUAUUAAUCCAUUAUGAAUUUCAGCACAAAUUUGUAUGUGGUGUGGACCGUUCAAGUGAAAUUUCAGAUAAAAUCAUCCCCUGACAAUUUAUUUAUUAUAUGUUUUCUGAUAAAAUAAUGUUAAUUAGUAAUUUAUUACAUCUGCAAUUAGCUAGAUACUUUGUUUGAGAAAAAAAAAUAAAAUCAGUUUCACAAUGAUUUUAAUUGCAAUAAAUAUCAUGCUGUGGUCUAUGACUUAUCUGAUAUUACAGAGAAAAUAUGUGAAAGAUAACUAAGUAAUAAAUCCAUUACGAAUUUCAUCACAAAUGAAAUUUAUUUAUUAUAUUUUUCAAUUUAACCUUAACGUUUGGACCAUUUUUUUUCUAUAUGGAUUAUGGCCGACAACGUUUGUUAUCAGCAAAAGCCAUUUGUUAUCUUGUCAAAAUUUGCUACAACACCACCAUUUUCUUACAUUUUGGCUUCUUCAAUGUUAAAGCCGUGUGCUGCCAAUUUUACUUCUUUAAAGAUGCUGCAGCCCUCUUUGAUUUUUCUUUGUUCAAAAUGGGCUGCUUUUAGAAUUUAGCAGUUACUUUUCUUGACAUUAAAUAGAUAGAACACUCUAGCACGUAGUUCUAAUCAUGUUGCAGAUAGAACACUCAAACACGUUGUUAUAAUCAUGUUGCCUUGACCUUAUUUUCUUAAAGCAUGUUGACAAAUACAAUAAUCUGCAUUUGGAGGAUGAUUAUGAAGAUAAAAACAAUAGAAAGUAUAAAUGACUAAUAAUAUACAUGACUUUAAGUGACAUGAGAUUUUUAAAACUAAACAAAGCUAACACAAGUAGAUGAUCCUUUCAUUAUAAUAUGUCGCAAAAUAAAAACUAAAUAAUAUUUAUUUCUUUUAUUUUUUUAGUUUAAUUCAUACUUCAGAAUUAUGUUAGGAUCAACCCAUACAAAGAAAAUCUCACAAGUCCUCUGAAGUAAUAAGCAACAUACAUAUGUGUGUGUGUGUGUAGUACAAUUUAAUAUUAUUUCAACUAGCGAAAUUUAUUGUGGAAGUCAUAAAAAUUAAGAAUGAAGAAAAGGAACCAUGAACCCAAAACAGAACGCAAAAAGUAGUCAUAUUUGUUCAUGAGGGAAUUCUAACAUGCCAAUCCUUGUGUUUAGAAUAAUCAACGAUGUCGAUAUUUCUCUAUAAUGGUCUUACAUUGAACAGAAACGUACGGAAGCAUGUGUUUAAUAAUCAACGAAUCAUACGAGUCAAAGAGUACUGAAAAGAAUACGUAAAAACUCUUUUAAUCCCUAUAUUUUGAGGUUAGUAACGUAUAUUUUUAAGAAUACCUCAAAACUCCCAGCCGUUAAACUAUUGACGCAUCUGCCUUUUUAUUUUUAUUCCUUUUAACUUGCUUCAAUAAUAUUAGCCUUUUACAAUAAUUUUUUUGGAGAGUAAUAAAAAGAAAAAAAAUUAUCAAUUUAAACCUAAAAAUAAUACACACACAUACAUAUACACUAAUUUUUCUAAAAGCUCACAUAUGUAAAAAAAAGUAAUAUUGUAAAAAAAAUUAAAUUACGAACUUUUUUGGACAUUAAUAAAAACAUAAAUAUAUUAACUCCUCAGCAAAAUGUUCCACAUUAAUUUUUUGAGAUUAAAUUGAUAAUUCAAUUUUUUCUUUUUAUUAAUGUAAAAAAAAUAAACAUUAUUGUGAGAGAGUAAUAUGUAAAAGCAAGCUAAAUGGAACAAAAAGUAACGGCAGGGGUUUCAAUAAUUUAACAAUAGAGAUGUUUUGAGGUAUUUCUAAAUAUAUAGUGACAAAAAAGAUGCUAACCUAAAAAUAUAGGAGCUAAACGAGCUUUUAUCCAAAGAGAAUCCAUGUAUAGCCGAUUUUACUAGAAUUUGCAAAUAAAAUGCAAAUACCAUUAGUCUUAUAAAAAACAUGCAACUUUUUAUCAGCAACCUGUAAAAUACCAUUAGAAGAGAUACUUGUACCAUUUCCAUGGGAUCAUCAAUCUCGAAACAAAACAGUUUCUGCGAGGCACCAUAUCAGCAUGUAAAAUGCCGCUUCAUUGACUAGUAUUUGAAAAUGACAAGAAGUGCAUAAGAGAAAUUUUAGAAUACCUCUAAAGUACCAUAUCAUUUAUACAAUAAGUAAAUAAUUUUAUAGUAUAAGUACAUUUAUUUUGAAGAAUCGACAAGUAAUUAAUGGUUAUACAAAAUUUAAAUUCACAUAUCAUAUAUGUAUUAAUUGAUUAUAUUAUCUCUUGGGUGCUACUAAGUUACAGCUGCUGUAACUUAUAGCCCCUUCAAAAUAAUGUAAACAACUGUCAUAGGUGGUAGGACCCGCAUGAUUUUUAAAGGAAUUAUAAAUUAUAGCAGUAGUAACUUAGCAAAAUCUUUAUCUCCUAUGCAUUUUGACUUGCUAAGUAUGAGAAGUCCCCCUGGGAUUCAAGAAGAAGGAAAUGAAGAAUGGGAACGAAAUGAAAUAAGGUCUUUCUGCAAGAUCAUACUUUGUAAUACCCCACCUCGCUGCUUUGACUAAUUUUGACUCGCUUUUUGAUUAUAUAAAAAAAGGAAACUAUAAAUUGUUUAAAGAAGAGGAAGCAUAUUCACACGUGAGAGAGAGAGAAAGUUGCCAAAGCUGACUCGGAAAACCUGACCCAUGAACCAACCCGGCCACCAUUUCUCGUUCCUGGCCACCCCACCAGCAACCGGAGGUACCAAUUAGAAGCUUUAGAACCAAUGGUCAGUUCCCCACCAUCGUUAUCGUUGAAUAACGGCUGGAAAGCCAUCAUUUGAGCCUGCAAAACCUAUAGUAUUUGCCACCUCCAUUCACCGUGAUUUCGCUGGUUUUAGGUGACGCCACCGAAUGGAUUUCGUUCCUCAGGUCACUACCUUCAUUUUUCGACCACCCACAUCACCAAAAAUGGUCAAUUUGCUGCCAAUCGACCACCGGAGUGUUCACAGCUUUGGGAGCUCGAUCUGGUGCCUCUGCCACCACUGUUGGAUUCAACGCUACAUGAAGCUUCUAUCCCGACCUUUCCUGUCACCGUCAUCUGAAUUUCGAUCACCGUUGCUCGAUGAGAGCAUUUUGGUGAUUUUUUAGAAUUUGAGGGUAAUUUCUUAAAUUUUUUAUUUUGUGAAUAUUUAAGUGAUUUCUAAUUUGGAGGAUAAGAAUCUAAGGGUAGUUCAAUAAAUUAUGAUUUUGAGGAUAAUUUAGCAACUUGUGAUUUUGAGAUUUCGGGAACAUUCUAGUAAUUUAAAAUUUUGGUAUUUUGGUAAUUAAUUAUUCAAAUUGAGAUUAAUUGAGGUUAAGUUUAGAGGGUAUUAUAUUGAGGAAUUUGAGAGCAUUAGAGUUUAUGAUUUGAUAUGAUUUUAUCUUAUAUGAGUAUUUUUUAUUGAUUUUAUCUUAUAUGAUUUGAUAUGAUUUUUUAGGUCGGUGAUAUCGAUACAUAUUUGUUACUCGAGGAUGCUAGAAGGUAAGUAAACUAGAUUUCUAAAUGAGUCACAAUAAAUAAUAUGCAUAUGUUUGACAUGUUUGAAAAGCUUAUUUUGAUAUAUGCGGAUAUGGAUUUAUAUGCUCUGCCCAUGUGUUUAUAUGAUGUGUUAAUAGGAUGUAUUGUUAUGUGUUAUGUGUGUUUAUGGACGUGGACAUAUGUCUGUGUGAAUGUUUCAAUGGCAUUAGCACGAAAAUGUAUUAUGUUUUCUGUGAAAUGAGAAAGUGGAUUUUAGCCAAACGAAAUUGGAAGAAAGAAAGUAAGCUUUACAUUAAGUAGUAGCAAUCCUUAUGAAUUUCCGCGAGGUGAUGAAAACCUAGGCCAUACAUCAAACAAAUGUCCAAAACGAAGACAACAAAUAGUCAAUUUGGCAACUAAUGCAGAGGAAAAUGAAAAGCCUAAGGAUGAACCGUAUAAAGACAACGACGACAUAGAAAAGGAGGAAUAGUAGACAUAUUGAGACACAUGAGUAUCACUAGUAACACAACAUUUGUUAUACACACUAAAGAAAGACGAAGACACUCAGAGACACAACAACUUCAAAACAAGGUGCACAAUCAAUGAGAGGGUAUGUAAUAUGAUUAUUGACAGUGAUAGUAGCAAGAAUAUAGUUUCGAAGAUUAUAGUUGACAAGUUACAACUUAAAACUCACAAACAUCCUUCCCCUUAUUGCAUUGGAUGGAUAAGAUAUGUUGGAGAGAUCAAGGUUACUCAACAAUGUUGUAUUCUUUUUUUCUAUCGGAAGAUACAAAGAUGAAGUAAUUUGCGAUCUUCUUGACAUGAAUGCUUGCCAUUUGCUUCUCGGGAGACCCUGGCAAUUUGAUCUUAAUAUGGUACAUCAUGGGAAAGAUAAUACAUACAGGUUCUAUAAAGACAACAAGAAGGUUAUCCUUGCUCCGAUAAAGUCAAAAGUCAAGGGAGCCUAUCUUUUAGUACAAAAGACAUAGCUGAAGUAGAAUCGAUGCCUGAAUAAGUCCAAUCGCUACUCUCAUAAUUUCAAGAUAUCAUGCCUAAAGAGCUUCCUAACAAGUUACCUCCUAUAAGGAUUACCUGUGACUCAAAUUAAAAGAGAACUUGUAAUGGUUUGCCCCUACAAGUCUAUAGUUUUUAAAAGAACCAUACUAAAAAACAAGAAGAAAUUGAAAUUUUGGUACUUUCGAGUUUUAAGAAAAGUUGAUGCAAAGUGCUACACUUUUGCAGUGCAAGAUCAAUUACUCCUUUGUUACAAGCUUUAUCCUCCAUAUUGUCCUUUGUUUUCAGCAAAACUAUGAGUUUUUUUUCAAAGAGGAGGAGACUGAUGUAGGAAGUAUAUACGAUAGAAUAUAUAAAAAAUUAUAGUAUUUGAGUCGAUUUAAUAUUUAAUAGUCUAUUAAGAUUUAUCCUGUUAGAGUAUAAGUUUUCUAGUUUAAUUAGGAAUUACUUUAUAUCUCCUUAUUUAAAGUCAUAUUCCUUUUACUUAUAAGGAAUCAUAAUUUUAUUAGGAUAGGAUAAUCUUAAUUAGUAUAAAUAGGCUUAUUAUGCUUGUUUCUUGACACAAGCUUUUUCAUUAAUAAUAUUUAGUAUUUCUCAAUUGAGAUAUUUUCUCCUUUGUGAGAGCUCACUUUCUUGAGUUUUCAAGAACGUACGCUAGAACUAAAUCUAGUAUCGCUUCCGCCCUGCAUCAUAAAUUAUCAUUAAAUGUAAAAUAAAACAUAAAUUAAUUAAAUAAAGCUUAAGACCUAUAAAUUGAUUGUAAAACAAGUAAAUUAGCAUAGGAAUGGUAAAAUGAUGUAUGAUUGAUAAACAAAAUAUAAACUUACAAAUAUUACACAAAACUUGCACUACAAGAAAACUGACAAUAGAUGACAGACACUUGUUGAUAGAUUCUGAGUGGGUCAUAAAAGCAUGAUAUAGUUGUGAUAUAUUUUUGGCUGUCAUAUAUUCAUGACUGAUUUGUGAUGGACUCGUGAUAGAAAAAGAGUAUGUCAAGAAUAUAUGAUGUCUUUGUGAUAUAAAUUUAAACGUCAAUAAGUCAUGAUAGAAAUUUAACGUUGCCUUAAUUUUGGCGCUUUUUUGACUGAAACUUUUAGUGUUAUUUAAAAUAAAAUAUUACACAAAGGAAGACACGUCAUCGUUUUAGGGAAGUUGGAACUAUGACGUUUUGUACAUAAAUAUAAAAUAUUAUAUUUUUAAAAUGUUUUAUUAUAAAAUAAAAUUAAAAAACAUGAAACGCACCGUUUUGGUGCUGAGUUUCACUUCUUCAAUCCCUAAUUUUUUCUAAGUAUUAACACAUACAACUCACAAACAUACAGAGAGUAUAGGGUAAGGCUAAAAUCUCAGCCAUCAUCUUACCCUCUUAUAUUGACUUCCUUUUCGCCUUCAUCUUACCAAAAUCUUGACCAUCGUCAUCUUGCCAUCGUCUUCCUAACGUAUUGGUUACCGAUUGCGUUGAGAAAUUGAGUGGGUGAAGGUGCAUUUUGUGGUAUCGCCAUUGUCUUCUUCUCCAUCAUGUUCCUCGCCAUCGUUUUCUGUCCUCAUCUUACUGUCUUCCUCACCGUCAUUUUUUGAAAGCCCUUGGUAUGAUUUCUAUUAUGUCUUUAUUUUGCAUGCUGUUUGUUUUGCACAGAUCUAAGUUAAAUCAAUUAAUUCUAUAAAUAAUCUAAUGAGAAAACCUAAUUAAAAAAAUAAAUUAUUUAAUUUGCUGAAAGAGAGCAAAGAAUGUAGGUUGUUAGGGUUCGCAGUAGCAGAAGCAACAGUAGUGUAGCAGGAGUGAAGUAGAUUUUAGAGAUGAAGGAUUAAAAAAAAGGGAUAAUUAUUUUGCAGCAGUAGUACUACUAGUAGCAGGACCAAGAGCCAAAUAAUUUGCCUAUUGUAGUAAAUUUGCAUGUCUAGGGGUUAAUUUUUCAUUGAAGUUUGGGGUUAUUAGGAAAUGAGUGAAGUAGCAGUACUUUUUUUUGCAACAAAUUUAUACUUAGAACCUAAUUAGAACCUAAUUUACCUUCUGAUGCAAAAUUGUAUUUUAUUUUAUUGAAAAGGGUAUCUGUGUUUUUGUUGACUCUGUGUUUUUGUUGAAGUAGCUUGCUGCCACCUCUUUUGUUGCAGAGUUUGCUGCAUCUCUUUUGCUGGAACAAUUUGGUGUAGAGGAAUUAAUUUUUAUUUGGUAAGUAAAUUGCACUUCUUUAUUUUUAGAGUUUUGAGUUCGUUAGUUAAUUAAUAGUUGCAUGAUAGCAAUUACUUUAAUAUUAUGGUCCUUUAUAUGAUUGUAUGAGGCUUUAUUUGUAUGUUAUGUUGUGGCUAUUGUAAUCUGUCUAUCUACUUGCAUUCUGUGUUGUGACUAAUGUAAUGUGUGGGGUCAAAAAUUUUUGUUAUGUUUAUCUUGCAAUAAGGGUAUUUAAAGUGGUGUUAAUUUGUACUUUUGCAUAUGUAGGGUUAAUUUUUUUAUUUAAGUAUGGGGAUAUUAGGAAAUGAUGAAGUUCCAAUACUGGUUUUGCAAUAAAUUUAUACUUAGAACCUAAUUAGAUCCUAAUUUAGCUUAUGGUGUUAAUCCUUUGUUUUUGUUGGAACAACUUGCUGCCACCUCUCUUGCUGCACAAUUAUUUCCUCUUCUCUUGCAGGAAUAGUUUGCUGUAGAGGAAUUAAUUUGACCUGGUAAAUAAAUUACACUUCUUUAUUUUAGAGUUUUGAGUUCGUUAGUUAAUUUAUAGAUGCAUGAAAUAUGUUUAAUAUUAUGGUCCUUUAUAUGAUAGCAUGACCUGAAGUUGUAUUAGGCUUGAUUUUAGUGUUGUGUUUAUUUACUACUGCAAUGAUUUUGAAUAUUGCAAUGUGUUUAAGUACUUGUAUUUUGUGUAGUGACUAUUAUAAUGUGUGGGGUCAAAAUUUGUUGUUUUGUUUAUGUUGCCAUAAGGGUAUUUAAAGUGGUGUUAAUUUGUACUUUGCUUAGAUAAAUUGGUAAUAUAUUCUGAUAUUUUAUUUAUUUGUAACAUGCUUAAUGUGUUAGGAUCAGAACUAAUUGAAACUGAAAAUGGAUAAGUUUUGGGUUCAUUGUAGUAAAAUGUCAAGUGAGUAUGAAGAUGGGGUUGAAGAAUUUAUGAAGUUUGCUGUUGGUAAUUCUGAAGGCAGUAGCGUCAUUAAAUGUCCGUGUACUAAUUGUAUGAAUUUAUCCUUUCGUACACAUAAGGUUGUUCGUGAACAUUUGUAUUUUCAUGAUUUUGAUGUUUCUUACACAACCUGGAGUUGGCAUGGGGAAGAUGUCAAUGACACACCAGUUCUUAAUGUAGAUGUAGAUGUUCCAUUUGAGUUUAUAGACUAUGAUGACGGUAACACAGUAGAUAUGGUUAACGAUGCUUAUAGGGAUUGUGCUGCAGAUCCUAAAGCAUUUAAAGAACUUCUAGAACAAGCUAACAAGCCUUUGUACCCAAGAUGUACAAAUUUCACUAAGUUAGGCACUUUGGUUAGCUUAUUCAAUAUAAAAGGGUAAAUUUGGGUGGUCCGACACAAGUUUUACCGAGUUAUUAAGUCUUCUAGCCAAGUUGCUGCCUGAAAGUAAUGAAAUUCCUGUGUCUAUGUACGAGGCCAAAAAGACAAUGUCCGCUUUAGGCUUAGAAUAUAUGAAAAUACAUGCUUGCCCAAAUGAUUGCAUACUUUAUAAAAAAGAGUAUGAAGGGUUGUCUGACUGUCCUAGUUGUGGUUUAUCUAGAUGGAAAAAAAAUGAUGGUAGUGUUGACCAAUAUAGGAAAGGGGUUCAUGCGAAGGUUUUAUGGUAUUUUCCGCCCAUACCUAGAUUUAAACGCAUAUUUCAGUCCUCAGAAACUGCCAAGGACUUGACUUGGCAUGCAAAUGAGAGAGCCGAUGAUGGUAAGCUCCGACAUCCGGCCGACUCGCCAUUAUUGAAAUUAGUAGAUAACAAAUGGCCUACAUUUGCAUUAGAUCCUAGAAAUCUCCAUCUUGCGUUAGCGGCUGAUGGAAUAAAUCUACAUAGCUCUCUUAGUAGUACAUAUAGUUGUUGGCCAAUUAUUCUUAUAACAUAUAAUCUUCCUCCGUGGUUGUGUAUGAAAUGGAAAUUCAUGAUGUUGUCCCUAUUGAUUUCUGGUCCUCAACAACUGGGCAACGACAUCGAUGUGUACUUGGCACCUUUGAUAGAAGAUUUACAAACUUUGUGGGCAGUUGGGGUAGAGACUUAUGAUGCCUACAGGAAUGAGUUCUUUAAUUUGCGGCCUGUGUUAUUAUGGACUAUAAAUGACUUUCCGGCAUAUGGAAAUCUAAUUGGUUGCCCUGUUAAAGGAUAUAAUGCCUAUCCAUAUUGUGGAGUAGACACUACUAAAUGUAGACUUAAACACAGUGGCAAAAAUGCAUAUAUCGGUCACCGUCAUUGGCUUCCUCAUGGUCAUGAAUUUCGAGACCAAGAGAAAGCCUUUGACAACACAAUAGAGAGAGAGUUUGCCCCGAAACUGUUGGAUGGGGAGAGUGUUUUGUGACUGAUUGAGUCUAUUGAUUAUAAAUGGGGGAAGAACAACUCUAAAAAAUGAAAAAGUUCUGACAAUGAUGAUCGCAUUUGGUGGAAAAAAAUCCAUAUUCUAUAAUUUAGAGUAUUAUAAGCAUUCACUUGUACGUCCUCAAUUAGAUGUUAUGCACAUUGAAAAGAAUGUGUAUGAGAGCAUAUACGGAACACUGCUGCAUAUUCCAGGAAAGACCAAAGAUGGUCUUAAGUCAAGGAAUGAUCUUGUGGAAAUGGGAAUUAAGAAUGAAUUAGCACCAACUUUUAAAAAUAACAUCUUACACAUUAACUAUAGAUGAAAAAACAAGGUUCUGCAAAGAUUUAAAAAGUAUUAAGGUUCCAGCUGGAUAUUCCUCAAAUAUAAAAAAUCUUGUGUCAAUGAAAGACCUUAAACUUCAGGGCCUUAAGUCACAUGACUACCAUGUUCUUAUGCAACAACUUUUGUCUAUUGCCAUUCGGUGUGUCCUGCCAAAGCAUGUUAAAGAAGCUGUGAUCAGGUUGUGUUUCUUCUUUAACUUGCUGUGUUCCAGUGUGGUUGAUGUGUCAACAUUGGAAAAAUUAUAGGCUGAGCAUAUGGUGACUUUGUGCUUGUUAGAAAAAUAUUUUCCUCACUCUUUCUUUGACAUAAUGACACACUUGGUUGUGCAUUUAGUCAAUGAAGUUAGACUAUAUGGCCCGGUUUACCUUCGAUAGAUGUAUCCUUUCGAGAGAUACAUGAAAACUCUUAAGGGUUAUGUCAGGAACCGCAACUGUCCUGAGGGUUGUAUAGCGGAGAGUUAUAUUGCGAAAAAAGCAUUAGAAUUUUGUGCAGAAUACAUGUCAAACAUGAAUACAGUUGGGGUUCCACUUGGACAUGUGCAAAACCUAUCAAAAGAUAAGCCAUUAACUGGUGGGAAAGUGGUACCAAUUCCUCCACAUUCACUAGAUCAAGCGCACCUGUACAUCUUGCAUAACACGCAAGAGGUGGUACCAUGCAUUAGGUAAUUUGGUGCAUUUCUUCAAUUCUAUAUAAUUUAUUUCUAUAAUUUUUAGUCUAAUUUUUUCAUGUUCUGGAUGUCUAGUGACCAUAUGCAGUGGCUUAAAACACGUUAUUCACAUCAAAAUGACAAAUGGUUGCCAGAGGAACACAACCGUACCUUUGCCGGUUGGCUAACUGAUAAGGUUCUAGCACGUAUAUAAUUAAUUUUCACAAAGAAAUCUCAACUUUUUUUUCACUUAGUAAAGAUGUUUACUUUUCUUCCUUGUCUUGUUAGGUAUAUGACUUGAUUGAAAAAGGUGAUCACGUAUCGGAUACUUUGCGAUGGUUAUCACAUGGGCCUCUUCCUUUUCUAACUAAACAUAAUGGUUAUGACAUUAAUGGUUUCCAUUUUAUUACACGAGAUCGAGACUCAAGUCAAGUAACUCAAAAUAGUGGAGUUAGUGUAGGUGAUUCUGAUAUAUGUGAUAUGACAUAUUAUGGAGUUAUAGAUGAAAUUUGGGUACUUGACUAUCAUUUGUUGAAAGUCCCUAUGUUGAAGUGUGAUUGGGUUCAAAGUAGUAAGAAGGAUGAGCUUGGAUUCAUCUUAGUAAACUUAAACCGAUUAGGAUAUGAAUCUGAUCCAUUUAUAUUGGCUUCUUAAGCCAAACAAGUAUUUUAUGUAAACGAUCAGAUUCAAACAAAGCGGUCUAUUGUCUGUUAUAUGCCUAGUAGAAGUAAUCCUAAUAAAACAAAUGAAGAUGAGGUCAAUAAUGUAACAGAAUAUCCUCCCUUCACCAGAGAAUUUCCAACUAAUGAUUUGUUACAUUUUACAAAUGGCAACCGCGCAAUCUAUGCACGAAAUAGCAAAGAGGGAAUUUGGGUUACCAAUUGAUUAACUUUUUUCCAGUAAGUGUUUAUUCAACUAUUCAGUCUAUGUUACAAACUAAUAUGAUAAUGAAUUAUUGUAGCUACUUUAUUCUUGCAGCUGAUUGAAUGUUAUAUAGUUUUAUAUUAUCAGUUAACUAAUACAAUUUAAUUUACUUAUUUCAGGUGCAGUAAUAUAGCUAAGGGAAAACAUGUAGUGGCUGAUGUUGCUUCUAAUCAGGAAGCUUAUUUUGAAGACGAAUACGACGACUUAUUUGCCGUGGUAGAUAAUUUAGCAGAUGCAAAAAACGAGGCUCAUUUUGAUGGUGUUGAGAUGGAUGGUGUUGAGUGUGAUGGAGGUGAUAAUGAUGGUGCUGAUUUGGAUAGAGGUGAUUUUGAUGGUGCUGAGAUGGAUGGUGUUAAUUUCGUUCCUCCUGAUGCUGAUGUUCCUGAAAGCAGUAACUCUAGGAGAGGUGUAAAUAUGGGAGCUAGGCAAAAUAAAAGACUUAAAACAAAGAAGGGAAAUAUUGUGGUACAAUACAAUAAAAUGGGCGUUCCAGCAGGCGAUGAAGCCACUGAGUUGGCUUCUCUUAUUGGGGUAUUAGCUCGUACAUCAGUUUUAAUUCUCUAUUCCAACUGGCGUAAGGUUCCGCUGGAGACAAAAGAGGUUUGUGGAAAUCUGUUCUGUUAAUUCUUAAAAAUCCACUACAUUCUACUUAAUCCUUUUGCUGUCAUUUUUCAAUUAUGUACUUUUAUGUAACAUAAUUUUUAUUAACUGUCACUUAAACAAUCUUCCUCUUAUUUAGGGUCGUUUCAUUGUUCAUCCUAGAAGUAGGAAGUAGGUGAUACAAUCAAUUGGAAUAGCAUUUCGGAACUUCAAGUAUAUGCUAGCCAAAAACUAUAUCUGGAAGUCCAGAAAUGAUAAAAAGAAAUUGUAUGCACCCGCAAUUGAGUACCCUCAAAUAAAACGUCCUAUUUGGAUAAAGUUUGUCGACCAAAGUUUGUCGGAAUCGUUUGAAGUAAGUAUUUUCAAGUUAGGACAAGUAAUAUGUUAGUAGUUACAUUAUUCAAGUUAGGACAAGUAAUAUGUUAGUACUUACAAUAUAUUUACCUUGUGUUAUGACUAAUCUAAUUACGCAGAAAAUCAAUCGUGUCAAUAAGAACAGGAGAGCUUUGAACAAGUGCAAUCAUCGCCUUAGUCGAAAAGAAUACAUUGGAUUAAUGAAAGAAAUUGUAAGUGUGUUAAAUAUUUAAAUUGUUAAUGAAAUAAUUUAUAUAUCAGUUAAGCAUGUAAAUUUUUUGCUUUGUUAAAUAUUUAUUAAAGGUUUAGUUAACUAUUAAAUUUUGUAACAGUUAACUAAUCUAAUUUCUUUAUCGAAGUAGUGUGCAAAAUCAGGGCUUUCUGAAGAGUUAAUUAACAGGAGUGAACUAUGGAAGAGAGCUCAGAUGCUAAAGAAUGGAGGACACGACUUUGAAACUGAACAGAUCAUUAAGAAAAUGGCAAUAAAGUUUAACUAGAACAAACAUUGUUUUUGAAGUCUGAUCUAUGCUCAUUUAAUAAUAUUAGUUUUAUGGUGGGUUGUUAGGAAAUGCUAGAGAAAGAGGACAAAAAAGACUCAUACAAUUCGGAUGCAAGAAAUGACUUACUUGCACAAGCAUUGGGAAAGCUUCCUCGAACUGGUCAUAUGCAAGACUUGGGCAAAUUUAUUUCUGCUUCUAUGUGCUUUCACUGCCUACAUGGACCCAUCUGAAAUGAGAGAGAGAGGGAGCUGGAUGCUUGCAAAAAAAUCAGUAGAUGAACAAUUGCGAGAAAUUUGCAAAGAAUUGAAGAGGACACCUUACCAUUCAGAUGUUGGAAGUUUCACUUUCCCACAUAAUAUGGUCGAUAAUGACACUAAGGGAGAUAUACAUAAGGUACUUUAGUUAUCUGUGUUACCCAAAUUUUUCCUGAUUUAAGUAUUUUUCCUUGUAUAUCUUCCACUCUGAAGAAGAGGAAAUGGAUGUUUGGUCAAAGGGACGAACAUCCUAAAGUAUCAACACUAAGAAAGAAAGAAGAAGUUCAGAAGAAAGAAGAGCCACCAAAAAACACAACUACUGCCAUUUCGAUGAAGUCAGCCAAAAAUGAUGACAGUGAAAAUGACAAUGAAGGAGAUGCACAUAAGGUUAGUUUAUUCAUAAUAAAUGGUUGUAUUUUUCCUAGAUUAUGAUUUAUUGCCUUGUAUAUUUACUAUUCAAUCUAGUUUAAUAUACUUACUAUUUCAUAUAAUUAAUCUUCACAGGUAGAUAAUUUGGGCAAGCCACUAGCAAAUGCCGCUGCUGCCAUUCCGGUGAAGUCAACAAAAAAUGAAGGCAGUGAAGGAGAAGUGCAUAAGGUUAGUUAAUAAAAUAAAUUGUAUUUAAGCUGUUUUUGUCUUUGUAUGUGUGAUUUCUUUUUUUAUUGGCUAAUUGUUUACUAACAAUUUGAUAUCAAUAACAUCCACAGGAGCCAGAUGAUUUGGGCAAGCCACCAAAAAAUACUAUUACUGCCAUUUUGAGGAAAAGUCCAAGACUUAAUCCUUCAAUCCCAAAGGAUUAUGCAAAUGAUGAGAGGAAAAUAGUUGGAAGCAAUAAAAAGCAAUUGGAUUUUGAAUGUCUUGAUGGUACAUCUAAUGGUAUACAAGAGAGGCAUCCUGAUAGCCCAACAAAAAAGACAUUUUUGAAAAAGGAUAGAGCUAAAAAAGGUGUAGUGCAGCCUAUGAGGAACACAAGGAGUGCAGUAUUCAAGCACCAGAACAGUCAUCCUAUGCUGCAGGUAAAUUGUGUGAGAAAUACCUGCCUAAUGAAAAUGAUGGUGUUUUAACAUAUAUGAUUGAUGAUAAUGUAUUCCAAAGACAUGCUUGUGCGUACAUUGGGAAGAAAGAUUGCAAUGAACUGUUGUCAAUGCAAGCACUAGGAGUAGAUGUUAUUCAAGUAUAUAUGGCGUAAGUGGUUUAAUGAAUUUUCUUUACACUAUUUUAUUUGAAAUUAGUAUACUUUUUUUAUUGAUGCACUGAUUUUCUAUUUAGGAUGUUGGAUUCCACCAUUCUACCAACCAGAAAAGGAAUAAAACCAUUUGGAUUCAUGUGUCCAAGUUUAGUUUGCCCAACAAAUCCAAAGGCUGUAGAAAAAUUUCGCUCAAAGAGAGUUGAGCAUAUCCACCACCGCUUGAAAAAGGCCAAAAAGGGACAAUUCAUUCUCAUGCCAUAUAAUCCUUUGUAAGUUUUAAUUUUCAUUUAAUACUUUUACGGUUGUUUUUGAAUUUAUAUUACUUUUACAACUGUUUGUUAAUUCAUGGUUUUGUUUUCUGCUUUUUUUCCAACUGCCUUCUCCUAUUGUAGCUACCAUUGAGUUUUAGUUGUGUUUGACGUGGUGAAAAAUGAAGUGUUUUAUGUAGAUCUUGUGCAGUCCAGUCCUGUUACUGAUUUAGAACAGCUCCUUAAAAUGUAUGUAUGCCAAUCCAUUUCAUGCAAUUGAUAUUUUAAGAUUUUUCAAUAUAAUUAAGAGAUAACACUUUGAUUUUUUUUUUAUAGCACCAUGACACUCUUCACAGCAGAGGAUAGUAAGGAAAAAUGGAAUUAUAAUUCUAAGAUGAGAAUUGUGAAGGUAAAAAAAAAAUAACCCUGUAGAAACUAUAUGUGCUUAUUGAUUACAUAACUAAAAUGAAUGAGAUUUUGUAAGUUUAUUUUUUUUUUGUGGCAUGAACAGGGUCUGAAACAAAAUAUCGCAAAAUUGGAGUGUGGCUAUUAUGUGUUAAGAUACAUAAAGGAAAUAAUAGCUGAUGUUAGUUUGUUAAUGAACAAUGUAAGUUGAUGAUGGCAUUUCACUACCUUUCUUUUAUUCCAUAUAUGUGACAUUAUUUUUUAAGUUUGACCUCUUAAUAAUCUUGUGAUUAACAGUUUAAUGGAAAGAAAUUAUACACUCAGGACGAAUUAGAUGAGGUUCGUUUGGAGUGGGAUAACCAUUUUUCCGACAUCCUUGUUGCAUCAGCAAAAUGGUUAGUAUUAGUAUGAAACUAUAAUUAUUAGUUAUAAAAUUUAUUGAAAUUAAAGUUAUAGUAUCAAAUUAUAAUGGUUACUAGCUGUUAACAAUUGUAGUGUACGUGUUUUGCAUUCGAUAACAUUGGGUAUUUUGAUUGAUUCCGAAUAGAUUGGUAUUGGUUUGCUGGGUUUCGGUUGGAGGGUUGCUGGGUAUGUGGCUGGAAGAUAUACCAGUGGUGUGGACAGCUGUUGGGUUGGAAGAUGCUGGGUUGCUGCUGAAUGUGUGUUGGGAGUGUUGUUGGGUAAGUGGCUGGAAUAGCAAUGAAGUGUAGUUAGAAGAUGUAUUGCUGCUAGAGGUUUUUGUUGGUGUGGAAAGAUGUAUUGGCCUGCUGCCGUUAUGCCAGUGGUGUGGAAUGAUGCAUGUAUUGGCUUGGUGGCUGGAAUUUGGAAAUCUGUUCUUGUAGUUUAACUGGAUGAAUUUUUUUUUUAAUUUCGGAUGUUGCUUAUAUAUGUAUUGGUAGUGAUGACAAUAUUAGACACUAGAUGUAUUUAUUUUGAAAUUAACUUGUUGGAAUGAAUGGAUGUUAAUUAAUAUUAAUUAUUUUUAUUUUUUUAUUUUUUUCAUGAUACUCAUUUUUAUUAAUUAAUUAAAUUUGUAAACAUGAAUACAAAAAUUAAUUAUAAUUGUUUUUUUUAAAUUAACUUUAUGACAGGAAAUUCCCAUCAUAUGGUCUGUCAUAAAGAAUUUCCUGCCAAAAAAUGAAUAAUAAAUUUACAAAUGAUAACAUAAUUUCCCACCAAAACUGAAUAAAAAAUUUACCAAUUACAAUAAAAUUUCCAGUCAAAAUUCAAAAAUUUGGCGCAAAAUUUUAAAUAAAUUCAAAUUUUAAUUUAAUUAUUUUUUCACAUUAAAAUAUUACGUGACAGAUAUAUGACUAUAAAAUACCAUCGUUAAUUUAUGACGGUAAAUAAUCUGUCAUACAUUAAUGACAGUGGACAUAGAUGACAAAUGAAGUGUCUGUCAUGCACCCCCCUUUUUAUGAACGGUUAUUUUUCCGUCACCUAUUGCAUGUUUUCUUGGAGUGUUGUAAAUUAAAUUAAGGUGUAAAUAAAAACAUUAAUUUNNNNNNNNNNNNNNNNNNNNNNNNNNNNNNNNNNNNNNNNNNNNNNNNNNNNNNNNNNNNNNNNNNNNNNNNNNNNNNNNNNNNNNNNNNNNNNNNNNNNNNNNNNNNNNNNNNNNNNNNNNNNNNNNNNNNNAAAUGAACUUAUUAUUGAGCAUGCAACUUUCCUGUAUUUAAGAUAUUUCCCAAAAUCUAACGUGAUUGAUAAUGCAAUCCUUUUGACAUGAUUUAGCAUUAUUUUUGCCAUUCUUAGGACUUUUCUUGGAUAUAAUCCAUAGUGAUUAUUUUAUUUUAGGUAUAUUUUAGUUAAUACAAGGAUUCUAUGACCUAUUUGAGUUUUUAUUAUUUAUGGAAAGCAUAGUAAUCAAUUCCUACACAAAUUACACUUUCCUGCUUCUAUAAGGUCUAGGUUUAUAUCUCUAUAUAAGUACAUCACUAAAAGGCUCAUCAACUUAAGGCUCAUCAACUUAAAUUUUACAUAUCAUUUGAAGAGGCAAAUAAUAAAAAAAAAUUCCCAAGGCUCUCUAAAUGAGAUUAAUCUAAUAAAAUUAUCCUUCUCUCUCUUCAAUAUCUUCUCAUUAUUGAAUGGCCAGAUAUGUUAUAAUAAUUAUUAUUUUGGUGGAGAAAAAAGUUUGAUUAAAAUAAUAUUGAAGAGAGAGAAAGACAGUCUUAUUUAAAGAAUCUCACUUAAAGAGAUUUUUUGAGCUUUUAAUUUAGUAUUAUAUUACUUUUUAUAUCUUCUCAUUCUUGAAUGGAGAGAUGUGUUAUAAUCAUUAUAUUUUGGUGGAGAAAAAAGUUUGAUUGAAAUUAUAUAUUAGAAGAGUCUUUACGGAGAUGGCUAAUUUUUUCAUUCUUCUAUUCGUCACAUGGAUAAGCAAAUAAAUAUUUGAAGAAUUAAAUUAGAAGAGUCAUUUGGUGAUACUUUCAGGGCUAUUGCUUAACUCGUUUUUGUCAUUAUUUCUCACCUAAAUAGCAGCCUAUAUCUCCAUAGCUUCUUCUUUUUUUAAUUAUCUUUCAGUUGCACAUCAUGGUUUCCACAACAUCAAGUUCAUACUUCGAAAAAUGCUAUAGCAAUCUAUAGCAAUCAUGCAAUCUUGCAGCAACUCAUAAGAACAGUAAAAAAACCCAUUUAGAUUGUUUGUCACUCAACUACAAACAGAUUUAGUUCAUACUUCGAAAAAGAAAAGCAAACAGUAAAGUAUUAGCCAUGAAAUACAUCGUUUCAAUGAAAGAGCAAGAAAAUGAACAAGUAAAGAACAAUGAAAAUUGAAUCCAAAUUGGUCUGCUGAUUUCUUCACUGAUGCAGACUUGCAUUUCCCUUGAAUUAUGAUUUUUCCUUCUUUUCCUCUUGAUUUUCUUGAUGUCAAUUCACCGCCACCCUUUUUAUGUGUUGCGCGCUCUUUUUAUAACUGAAAACUAGGGUAAACCAAACCCUAGGGCACGCAUGAUUAAGAUUAAGAAACUGCAGAUCGCAAUUCUGCAGAUAUCCCACGCUAAGUUUUCUCUAUAGUUGUUCCAGGAUUGCUACAGCAAUGGUUGCCCCAACAACGGCUAUAACACUGCACUACUUCAGAUCUUGUUUCAAUUAUUUUGUGGCCAUAUUCUUCUUCCUUUUUGCCAUCCUAUUACAUCAGCAUCCCUUCCAUAAAUUAUAGACUUCUGGAAAUCUACAAUUAUGCACACAAUUUGAGUACAAAUUACCUUAAAUCACGCAAAACUUAUCAAGGCUAAACUAAAAUGAAUGUUUAUGCAAAAUAUAACAAAAAUGCAAUAAAAACACAUCAUUUACUCUCUAAGUGAUCUUGAUUUGAGUUUAAAAUGGCCAUAAUAACUCUCAUUUCAUAGAGUUAUCACCCAACUUCACAAAUGCAAGUGCAAACUUCUUAAUAGCACGAUGAGAAAUUGACUCCAAAUUGUCUUGAAAAGAGAAUAACUACGGUUAAAAAGCAUCAAGUAUCGUAUUAUAGAAUGCGAUAAUUCCUAUGACCACACCGUCCACUGAUGGCAGUGCUUCUCCACCGCCAGAACCUUCUCUAAUUGCUGGCGACAUCCCCACUGAUCAACAACCCUCACAACAACUAUUAACAUUUCAAACCAUAAACCCUAGAUUGCAACAAACCUUUCAAAAUAUGCUCUACGUUGUCGCCACCUUGCCUACCUCCGUUGGUGGCGAUUACUUACUGACGGAACCACCAUUGAACCUUAUGUACUCCUAACAGUUGCUUCUCACCCUCCAUGUACCACCAACCCCCUCAGGCACCAAUACGCACGAGCACAAUCAAAACUCAGGCACCACUUAUUGCCCACUAUUUCCGACUCCUUUUACUAAGACAAAUCCCCUUAGCUGUAAUAUAUCUCACCAACACCUUGCUGUCUCUCUUUUGGCCACCGCUAGUGGCACCAUCAACCUGCCGGCCGCCUCAUAUCAGCCACUUUUGACCACCCAAACCCACUCUACUAUUUAAAACUGAGACUAGCUGCUAAAUGCAGAAAACCUUAGCUAUAAUAAAGAAACCCUAGCCAACAUCUGGCUUUCCAAACCAAAAACUAAACCAAAUAUCAAGCCCAAACCCAUGAUCAUUUUUCCACCCCUUACUCUUGGUCAUACAUCCAACCCACCCUGAAAGGCCUCUUUUGCAUCUAUUACGAAUCCUGAAGUUAUCCUCAACCCUAAUGCUAAAUCUUUUGUUGAUGUUAUUGCUAGCCCCCUAGAAUCUUCAAUUUAGGAAAAGCCAGUUUUAAUAUUUCAUGGUAAAACUGUUAUCAACUUUUCAGCUAUAGAAAUCCAGCCCAUAGCGUAACCAUCUAAACUUUCCCUUGUUAGUAAGUUUUUGUUUUGCCGCCCUCCUGUAGAUAUGAUAAACAAAUUCUUUGUUUCUUGAGUUUUAAAGGUAGUACACAGGUUUCUUUGCUAGAUAAUUGAUCAAGCUUUAACUUGGAGAGGAUUUCUCAUGUAUUUGGGUUAGGCACACUUGGUAUGUUAGUGGCAGGUUCACGCGUACUUUUAAGUAGUCUAUAUUUAUGCUCUAAGGAGUCUCAGUUGUUCUUGUCUAGGUGUCUUUGCCUUAUUUACCUGUGCAUUUCAUUCAUUGCAGAGAUGCUUUAUUUUCUAUUGUAAAUGCUAUUAAAAAUCCUUUACGGGUGGACCGUGCCACUGCUGCUAUUAAUAGGCCCUCGGUGGCUCAUGUACUCAUUGAGUAUGAUGUUUCACGACAAUUGUUGCCAAGACUUUGGAUUGGUAAGGGUGAUAAUGGGUUUUGGCAAGAUAUCAUCUAUGGGCGUGUUCUGUUAUAUUGUGCCACGUGUAACCAUCUUGGUCGCUUUGCUGAUGCUUAUUUUGUUACUAAUCAUGGGCUCUAGAAGCCCUAGUAACCUAUUGAUUAGGUGAAGGAUAUAGUUGCUGAUGAUACAAGUACGAUACUUAUUACUGAUGGUGUUGUCCAGCCUACUAAGGAUUUUGCUAAGUUUGUGGUUACUAAGGAUAAUCGACUACAGAGGCCUGCUCUCGUCCAAGGUCAGUCUUUAGGCCUGGCCCCCUCGAUGAUGUUGCUUGGCCGUCUGCUCUUUUUCCUCAAGAUACUGUAGACGCGACAUCUAAUUCGAUUUCUGCUCUGUGAGUUCCAAAUGAUAAUGGCUUGCAACAUAAUGUUGCUCUAAGAGAUGCUGAUGGAUGCACUAAGGUUGCUAAUUCUCUUGUUUUGGAUAAUCCGAGUGCUCUAAGGGCUUCCACAAGCUUUACUUUUUCAGGUCUAUAGUGGAUGAUAUUCACUCCAUGGUUGUGAGUUUUGAUUUUUUUUAAUAGUCAUAAGAGCACUAUAGAUGCUACAACAAUGCUCAUAACUCUUGUUGCCUUUGGACUCAAGUCUGCAUAUGGAGUACAUACUCAGCCCUGGUUACUUAGGGACUUGAGCCAUUGGAGCUAAAUUUAUUUCAUAAUGAGCACAAUUUAACCAAAAUUUUCCCCCAGCUUGAGAUAGUCUACUUUUUUUUCUUGGCUUUGCUACAACAUUCUCAUAAAACUCAAUCAAAGCUUAAGUGUCAGGACAAAAUUUCAACCUCCAUCUAUCACUAUCUCUACUUGGCAUUCUCAUAAAUACUGAAUAACACUCAAUUUAUCUUCAUAAGGUUUUCAAAUCCAAAAAAAAAAUAUUAGUUAACAGAGCUUCACACAAUACACAACACAAGCAUAAACAUACGCAUGCAUUCAGAAACACAACCCCCCCCAAACUUGAGUGGUGUUGUGUCCUCACAAGCACACAAAACAAAACCACAUAAACUAUACAUGCAUACGCUAAAUAAAAGGGCAUGUAGAAUGAAUCAGAAAAUUAAAACUGAAUGAAAGAAAAGUUGUCCAGAAAUAAAUAAAAUAACUAGCAAGAACAGGGUACUCCCCUAUUGCUUCGGCACUGCUGCAACAUGGUGUAGUGACUUUAGCGCUUUUUGGAUGCACUUCGCAGCCUAUCCUUAGGGGAUUCUUAUGGUGAGGCAGCAUGCAAUGUCUUUUUCUUUUUCUGCAACGGGCUGGUGGUAGGGGUGGUAGUUUGUGCAUCCUGCCUAGAUGAAACAGAUCUGGUUCAUUUUGGUUCUGGUGUGGCUACUGCAACAACGCCUCUAGAAGUGCCCCCCUUUCUUUUGUUGGGUCCCUUAGGACUAGUAAGAGUAGGUUUUCUGGGGGUUUAUUGUGAAGGGGCUAGAGUUAGGGCUUCGGCUGCCUGUCCCUCAGUCGUGAUUGCGGCAAUGAUAUUAAGCAGCUACUUUGUCUCUGUUUGUGUACGCGUAACUCUGGCUACUGCAGCUUCUAAAGCUGCCUCAAUUUGCUCAGCUUCAUCAUCAGAGGCAGAAGGGGUGAUUACUUUCUCUUUGCCCUUUCGAGAAAGGACUAGAAUAUGAAGCUCAUCUGCUGGUUCAUCAUCCUCUUCUUGUAUGAUGCACUUUUUUCUGAAUUUGUAGAGGGUCUUGGCUGGGGAUUCCUUAAGUUCUCUCUUAGGCUCUUCCUCUGCCGGGGAACUGUCAAUUGCGGACUUGACACCCUCUUCUUCAGGUUGGUCAGAUUGGUCAUCAGCAUCUGUUUCGGCCUCUGCUUGCGGUUCUACUGUAACUUCUUCCUCUGGUUCAUCUGUGUCAAUAGCUUCUUCACUGACUUCUACUGGAGCUUCUGUAGUGUUGGUAUCAAAAUUAUAUUGCUGGAGCAAUGAAUCAGGGAAAUUUCGGUGGGUACUUUUCAUAUAUACAACAAAUUUGUGUAAGUGGCUUUCCAAGUGUUGCAAAUAGCUCCAAAAUCGAUUGUUUUCCCUCGGCUGAGCUUCAGCACAUUAAGUGAUGCCAGUGCUCAGUGUUUGGAUUCUUUGUUCUAACCCAAUAACUUUUCUUGCCCCUAUUACAGCAGCUGGUUUAGAUAGGGCUCCAGUAACUUCACCAAUAAUUCUUUCGAUGGUGCGUGCAGUGAGGACACCAUCAUUCUUGACAUGCUCAUCUUUUGCAUCAAGGCGAGCUCCCGAUACCACAUAGAUGCUGGUGAUGAGCGAAAGAAAUAGCAAAGCUGCUGGUUUGUGGUUUUUCGUGGCACAGUCUCGAAUUUCUUUUUCUAUAAUGCUUCCCACAUCUAUGGGUAACCCUCUAAUAAUGACAUACAAUAGUACUAACAUUUCUUGUGAAACAGUAGUGGUGUGGGUGGUUGGCAUAAGUCUGGAUUUUAGAAAUUUCACUCACACUUUAGCAAUGGGUUUCAAAUCUAUCCUAUUAAUCACACACCCUUCUUCAUUAGCCCACAAUGCACCCUUUACAGUGAGUGUUGUGAAAAUUUUAUUCCAUUUUUGUGGGGUUAAUUUGUCAAGCAAUUUGUCAUACUCGCAAUUAACUUCAGAAGGUAAGUUAUAGAAAGCAUUUAUAACUCGGGAAUCUAAUGGAACAAGUGAGUUUCUUACCCAAAUAUUAUGCUGACCAGGGCUUACCAAAUUCGCGUAAAAUUCUUUCACCAGUGGCAACACAGGGUCUCGAGGGUGGUUGCAAAACUCCAGCCAUCCGCGCUUUGCUACAACAUUGUAUAAUGAUUGCACAAUUCGUGUGGGUUGAGGUGGGAACUGAAACCCUUUUUCUUCCAGAAUCUUGCACGGUUCAAUAAAUUCUUCAUAUUUUUCUUCUGUAUGGUAACUUUGGAAUCGUGAGGGAUCUUUUAGUCGACUGGCUGUCCUUUUGUACCCUGGCAUUGCGAUAGCACUAAGAGUUUGAUGGUAAUAUACCCAAGAGUAAAAUGAGAAGAAAAGGUUAUGGAGUAUUAAAGUCGUAACUGCGAAGGGGAAAGAAAAUAGUUUUAAAGGUCAAUAUGCACAGUGAUGCCCUUAUAUAGGUGGGAUUAAAUGAAAACAAAUCUUGUAAAAGAGAUAAAUUAGAGAAGAAUUUUUUUCAAAUUUAUUAAGCACAUCCAAUAAAAAUAGGCAAGAGAAAUUAAUGUGUUAAUUUAAGAGAUAUUCUUCCUCAAUUUUUAUCCAAAUCCACCCAACCAUCUGUCACAUAUUAUUUCUAACGGUAACGUGAGAGGCUCCGUGAUGAAGUUACUGUAACGAUAAUAUUGGUUGCUGCAGUACCCAAUUGUGUGCUCUAGCAACGAUUACACAUUCUCCUCAAAUAGUUGCUGACACGUGGUUUUCCUCUGUAAUAUGUCAAUAUUACAGCCCCAAUUGUUAAUAUUGAAUCUAAUAAAUGCGUGACCUGACAAAAAAAAAUAAGAAAAGAUAAGAGAUAAAUAAUCCUAAAUAAGGGAAAUAAAUAAAAAAAAUAAAAAUAAACAAAACCAGGGAGGAUCCAUCUCAUUUGAAAUAACUGCCUCCGUAAUGGGUUACCUCCUAUUGAGCGCUUGAUUUAAUGUCCUUCAGCCUGACCUUACUUGAGUGCUCAAAUAGCCGAUUCUCUAAGGAGUAAGACCUCCUUUGAACAAUCUGUAACUGAAUGCAUGUAAUACUUAACUCGAUGCCCAUUGACUUUGAAUUCCUGGCCUGUCUUUUCAUCUAAGAGAUCAACAACCCCAUGAGGGUAAAUUCUGAGCAGCUUGAAGGGUCUAGACCAUCGAGAUUUCAGUUUGCCUAGAAAUAGUCUCAACCUCAUAUUAUAGAGCAGCACUAGUUGACCAGGGACUAAUUUCAUGUGUUGGAUGUGUUUGUCAUGCCAUUGUUUUGUUCUCUCUUUAUAGAUUCUUGCAUUUUUAUAUGAGAAUAGUCGUAAUUCAUCAAGCUCACAUAAUUGAAGUUUCCUUUGUUCUGCUGUAGCAUGUAUAUCCCAAUUUACUUGCUUCAAUGCCCAAUAUGCUUUGUGUUCUAACUCAAGUGGCAAGUGACAAGCUUUCCCAUACACAAUUCGGUAGGGAGGCAUGCCAAGUGGUGUCUUGUAUGUUGUUCUGUAAGCUCAUAGGGAGUCAUGUAAGCGCAAUGACCAAUCCUUUCUUGAUGGGUUCACCACUUUUUCCAAGAUCUUCUUAAUCUUCUUAUUAGACACUUCUGCUUGACCAUUGCAUUAUGGGUGAUAUGUUAUUGCUAUUUUAUGCCUGACUCCAUAUUUCACCAUAGCUGCAACAAAUACUUUAUUGCAAAAAUGAGUACCUUCAUCACUAAUAAUUGCUCGUGGAGUGCCAAACCUGGAAAAAAUGCUCUUCUGAAGGAAGUUCACUACUGCUCUAGCAUCAUUGAUAGGUAAUGCUGCAGCUUCUACCCAUUUAGAGACAUAAUCCAUAACAACCAGGAUAUAUAAGUUCCCAAAGGAUAGUGGAAAAGAACCCAUGAAGUCUAUUCCCCAUACAUCGAAAAUCUCUUCUUCCAGAAUGUUCGUCAAUGGUAUUUCAUGUCUUUGAGUAAUGUUUCCUGACCUUUGACACCUUUUACAACAUUUAACAAACUCAUAAGCAUCUUUAAAAAUAGAAGGCUAGUAACAACCUGAUUGCAGAACCUUAGCAGCUGUUCUGUGACCACCAAAAUGUCCUUCAUAUGCUGCAGCAUGGCAAGGUUUCAGUAUCUGAGGAAUUUCUUCCUCUGAAACACAUCUUCGUAUCACUUAAUCUGAGAAUAACUUAUACAAAUAUGGGUCAUCCCACUAGUAGCUUCUAACACCAUAAAGAAAUUUAUUUUUUUGCUGAAAUUUUAACUCAGGUGGUAGCAAUCCACUUACUAAGUAGUUAGCAAAAUCUGCAUACCAUGGGGGUCCUGAUUGCUACAUAAUUUGUGCCUGUUGUAUCACUAACAGUUGUUCAUCAGGAAAAGUUUCAAUGAUGUCUUUUUUUGUCAAUGUGCUUGCGUCUGCUUCUAGCCUAGACAGAUGCUCUGCUACUUGAUUCUCAGUCCCUUUUCUAUCUUUAAUUUCCAAAUCAAACUUUUGAAGCAAUAAGAUCCAUCUUAUUAAUCUCGAUUUAGCAUCCUUUUUAGAGAUUAGGUGCUUGAUGGCUGUAUGAUCUGUGUAUACUGUCACUUUAGUACCCACCAAGUAGGCUCUAAACUUGUCAAAAGUAAAUACUACUGCUAGUAAUUUUUUCUCUGUAGUGGUGUAAUUAAUCUGAGCUUGAGUAAGAGUUUUGCUGGCAUACUAUAUAGAGUGGAAAACCUUAUUCUUCCUCUGCCCCAACACUGCCCCAACAGAAUGGUCACUGGCAUCACACAUCAGUUCAAAUGGUAGAGUCCAAUCUGGUGCUAUAACCACUGGUGCAGUGAUCAAAGCUUUCUUCAAUUCUUCAAAGGCUUAAAAACAAUCUUUAUCAAAAUGAAAAGGCUUGUCAUGUUCUAGCAAUGGCCACAAUGAUUUAACUCUUUGGAAAAGUCUUUUAUGAAUCUUCUGUAAAAUCCAGCAUGCCCCAAAAAACUUCUAAUCCCCUUGAUUGAAGUGGGAGGUGGCAGUUUAUCUAUCACUUCUAUUUUCGCUUUAUCUACCUCUAUGCCAUUCUUGGACACCUUAUAACCCAACACUAUUCAUUUUUGCACCAUGAAGUGGCAUUUUUCCCAAUUGAGUACUAAGUUAGUCAUCUAACAUCUUUUAAGAACUUUUUCCAAGUUGUGUAAACAAUCAGUAUAUGUCUCUCCGAAGACUGAGAAAUCAUCCAUAAAGACUUCCAAUGUUUGCUCCACCAUAUCCGAAAAAAUAGACAUCAUACAUAUCUGGAAAGUUGCUGGAGCAUUGCACAAACCAAAGGGCAUCCUUCUGAAGGCAAAAGUUCCAUAAGGACAGGUAAAUGUAGUCUUUUCCUGAUCCUCUAGGGCUAUAGCAAUUUGGUUGUAGCCUGAAUACCCAUCUAAGAAAUAAUAGUAUUAUUUUUCAGCAAGUCUGUCCAACAUUUGAUCUAUAAAUGAAAGUGGGAAGUGAUCAUUCUGUGUGGCUUUGUUGAACUUCCUAUAAUCCAUACAUACCCUCUAAUCCAGUUACUGUUCUUGUAGGAAUAAGUUCAUUUUUUUUCAUUUGCUAUCACUGUUAUUUCUCUCUUCUUUGGAACACAUUGAACUAGACUCACCCAUGAACUGUCUGAUAUCGGGUAUAUGAUCCCAGUAUCCAAUCAUUUGAUGAUUUCUUUCUUCACGACUUUCUUCAUAAUGGGGUUUAACCUUCUCUGUUGUUCUACUGAAUUGUUGUAGUAAUCUUCUAACAGAAUUUUAUGCAUGCAUAUGAAUGGACUGAUCCCUUUAAUGUCUGCCAUGGUCCAUCAAAUUGCUUUUCUGUGUUUCCCAAGCACAUCUACCAGGCUCCUUUCUUGACCUGCAUCCAAAGUAGAUGAAAUGAUUACAUGGAGUUUGUUGUUCUGACCAAGAUAAGCAUAUUUCAAAUGUGAGGGUAACAUUUUUAAUUCAAGAGUAGGAAGUGAUUCAAUAGAAGGUAAAGUUGUCUUUACUUCCUUGUCUGAAAGAUUUAGAGGUUCAACAAAUCUGCUAUGUCUGUUAGAUUGCCUUUCUCCCAUCCAAUCUAUCUGGUUUGCUGCAGUAUCUUCUUCUUCAAAGCUCUCAAAGGUUACAACUUUGAUGACCUUAGUACUACAGCAUCUAUUUACUUUGUUUGCUAUAACACAAUCCAAAACACUCAAGAAAUUGUAAUCUUCUACCUCAUCAGGAUUCUUCAUAGCCUCUAAUACAUUAAAUGUGACUUGUUGGUCAUUCACCCUCAUUGUUAGCUCUCCUUUUUGCACAUUUAUUAGAGUCUUCCCAGUUACUAGGAAAGGUCUUCCAAGUAUAAUGGGUACCUCUUUAUCAACCUCAAAGUCUAGUACAAUGAAGUCCACUAGAAAGAUGAAUUUGUCUACUUUCACCAGUACAUCCUCAAUCUUUCUUUCAGGGUAUGCAUCAGAUCUAUCAGCUAAUUACAGAGUGACUGUUGUUGGCCUGCAUUCUCCUACUCCAUACUGCUUAAAUACAGAUAAUGGCAUCAAAUUAAUGGUGGCUCCCAAAUCACAGAGUGCUCUGCCAUUGUACCUAAUUCCAAUAGAACAUAGUAUUGUGAAACUUCCUAGAUCCUUCAAUUUUUUUAGGUAUCUUACUUUGGAGCAUGUGACUGCUUUCUUGUGUUAAAGCAACAGUUUCAAAUUCUCCCAACCUUCUUUUUCUUGCCAAGAUGUCUGUUAGAAAUUUUACAUAAUUAGGCAUUUGCUCCAAUGCUUCCACAAAAGGUAUGUUGAUGUGUAAUUGUUUCAGCACUUCCAGGAAUUUACUAAACUGCUUAUCUUGUUUUUAUUUCUGGAAUCUCUGUGGGAAAGGAGGUGGAUGCCUAAAUUGCUGGGCAGCUUUAGAAGGUACCAAUCUCUACACAUUUGAUUUAUUGUAAGUUGUUAUCACUGGUGUUGCAACUUCUUCUUCAGCAUUUAUUGGUUGAUUCCCUUCCAAAGUUAUUGUAGCUUGACCACUAACACCAAUAUCUUGAUAACUGGGUUGCUAUAACAUGCUCUCAUCUUCAAGUUGUUCUUGUGAGGAGUUAAGUUCCAACAUUUUCUUAGUCACGUCAACAGAAAUAUCAACAUUCUUUCCAGAUCUUAGGUUGAUUACUUUACAGUGUGCUUUUCCCUCUCUUCUUAGAUCUUCUGUAUUGCUGGGUAAACUUCCCUGAGAUCUGCUACUCAUUGCUGUGGCAAGCUGUCCAAUUUGGUUUUUCAGGUUUCUUAGAGAUACAACUUGACUUUGCACAAUUGCUUCAUUCUUCACAAUGUAUUCCUUAAUCAGUAUUUCGAAUGAGGUAAGUGGAUCAUGGCUAGUGUGUUUUUGCCCUUGAUUUUGCUGAUGAAAACCAGGUGGUUGAGUAUUUAUGUUUUGUCCACUCAAUGUUGGAGCAUUUUGAUUCUGAUUGCCCCAUGAAAAAUUUGGGUGUUGCUUCCAUCCAGGGUUGUAAGUAUUUGAGUACGGGUUGUUUUGAGGUUGUCGGUUGAAAUUACCCACAUAGUUUACUGAUGCUGGAUUUCCAGGGUAGUUGUCAAAUACAUGUUCGUCACCAUAAUACACGCAAGACAGUUCAGCAACUUGCUUUACUGCUGCUGGAACAGAAGUCAUGGCUUUCACCGUGUUAGUCAAUGAAGUUACUUGUGCUGAUAAUGCUGUAAUUGCAUCUAUAUUAUGUACCCCCAUUGCUCCUCUCACUGUUGUCUGUCUAGUUGAUGGCCACUGAUAAUUAUUGUUAACAAUUCUCUCUAAAAUUUCAUAAGCUUUAAUGUAAGAUUUAGAUAACAAAGCUCCAUUUGUUAAAGCAUCAACCAUCAAUCUGGUACUUGGAUUCAACCCAUUGUAGAAGGUUUCUAGCUGUAUACAAUAAGGAAUGCCAUGAUGAGGACACCUUUUGAGCAGCUAUUUAAAUCUCUCCCAAGCCUCAUACGAACUUUCAUCUUCAAGCUGAUGAAAAGAAGUGAUCUCAUUCCCCAAUUUUGCAUUCUUGGUUGGUGGAAAAUACUUUAUUAAAAAUUUGUCAGCUAAUUCAUUCCAUGUAGUGAUGGAAUCAGAUGGUAAUGAGUUCAACCAUGCUCUGGCUCGAUCUCUUAAGGAGUAAGGAAAAAGCCUUAGUCUUAAAGCAUAUUGCGUUACUCCAAGAAUUUCAAAAGCAUCACUCACUUCCAAAAACAACUUAAGAUAGAGAUGAGGAUCUUCAGUUGGCAAUCCAUUGAAUUGACCCACUGUUUGCAACAUUUGAAACAUCACUGGCUUAAGUUCAAAGUUUGCGGCUUCCACUUCAGGUCUGACUAUUCCAGGAUGUACAACUUGAGGAGUUAACACAGCAUAAUCCCUGAUAGUCCUAUCUCUAUCAUCUGCCAUGUAAAUGAUAUUGCUGCUGCCUGGUUGUCUCUUAUUAACAUGCUCAUUUUGCCCAUCUUGAACAUUGACAGGUUGUAGUGGUCCGUGAGGGUCCAAGUUUCCCACAUCUUGCAAAUUAUCCAUCCCUGAAAUAGUUUUUGAAUUUCAUUGUUCUCUUCGCAGUCUUCUUAUGGUCCUUUCAAUCUUAGGAUCAAGGUGAAAUACAAUAGAACUGUCUUUAUGCAUGCAAGUAUUGAUUUGUCAAUAAACAGAACAAAUUAGAUCAAGUUGGCACUGUCAAGAUUGACUUCACACUUUGAAAAUAAACAAUCAAUCCCCGGCAACGGCGCCAAAAACUUGUUGGAUAAUUUUUAACUCAAUUGCUAUUGAUGUCAAUGUGCAAGUGAACACAAUAAGUAAUAAAGUGAUGAAUAUUCAAGAUCGUCUCCACAAGGAUUAAUGUUACUAGAAAGGCUACAACAAUCACGAUAGUGCAAACUUCUUUUGUUCCAAAAAGAUUAAAAAUUAAUUACCACUGAAAUAAACAAUAAAAGAAGAAACAAAAAUAAGUUAAUGCAAUAAUAAAUCAAAUUGAAUGAAUUGCGUAGGAAGAAUUCAAUAGGGAUGAGGUAGUUAAGUGAUCAAACUCUCUUCAGGGACUGACUGUUUUGUCUAAAUUAACACCAGUUGCUACAGUAAUUCUUACAGCACUAGGCAGAAUUAUUUUACAUCCUCAGAUGUCGCUUAUCAGAUUUCUCAUACCCUUAAGCACCUAACAAUGACUGUUAUAGUACAAUUUAUGCACUAGUUUUGCAUUGUUUACUUCCUUUAAUAUCGAUUUUUUGCACUUAAUAAUAGUUAUUUACUUGUGUUUUAUUUUUGUAAGUACAAUUCUAUUGAUUGGUGCUAAAAUUGAGCUACAAGAUGAUGUUUGAGGAUGAUUGUUUUCCUAGAAAAAUUAUGAGCUUCAGAAGAACUUUGUUGAUAAGGCGUGGGCGCGUGCUGUCGAUUACAGACCUGCAGUUUUUAGUUUAACGUAUUUUGUCUUUUUGGUUAUUUUUGUAAUUACUAAUUUAAUAUUUAGCUAAUAUUUUAGAUAUUAGUAUUUUAUUUUAAAAAGAACUCUAGAGGAGGAGAGAGGGAAGAGAAUUUAAGAGAGGAAUCUAUUGUCAAAGAAGGGAAGAAAAAGAAACCCUAGAUCUAAAUUUUUCUCUUCUCUAUGAAAAACUAAAUCUAUUAUUCUGGUUAAAGGUUAAUGAAGCUUUGAUUCAUCACUACUGUGAGAUCUUUCUUAUGCUUUAAUUGUUUUAUUACUUUUUGGGUAUUUUUUUAUUCUCUGAAUUAUUGUCAUGAUUAUGUUUGUUAAUUAGAUAAUUGGCCACUAUUUAAUUAUCAACUUAAUCUAUUAUCAAUUAAAAGAUUCAUCGUAUGAAUAUUUUAAUGUUUGUGAUAAAUAGCAUAGCAGUGCAUUGUGUAAUGAGAAUAAACAAUCUAAUUUAAAUGAACUAUCGUAUGCGUUUGUUGAUUAGGAUUUGGGUCUCUCUGAUUUUUCAGGCUGUCAAUUGAUUAAAUCAUAUGAUCGUAUCUAGGGUUGUCUAUUGAUUAGAGAAAUAACCAACAGUCGUACCUUGGUUAUUGACUAGUUAAGGAGAGAUUGGCUAUUAGAGAGUCUCAGUAGCUAUAACCGGUCUAUUCAUAAGUAGUAAUGAUUUAUAUUUGAAUCAAUGAUCAAUAGUCGAAUCAAGCUGAGUUAAUUCCUUCAACCAGAGCUUUCCCCAAUUUGAAUUACAAUUUUAAUUUGCAUUCUUGUUAUUUUAAUUUGAUUUUUAUUAUUGUCAACAAUUCCCCCAUUUUGCAUUUUAUAUUUUAAAAGGAUUUAAAUAAUUACUGAUCUCUGUGGACACGACCCUGCUCAAUUACUAUACACAAUUUAUUUAGAGUAGGUAUUUAUUUUUGCUGGCUUCGACAACCAACAAAUUUUGGCGCCGUUGCCGGGGAUUGGUGUCGUUUAUUUAAUCCUUUUUACGUUUUACUUGGUGUAUGGUUUUUUCUUCUCGUACAAGUACACUUUCAUUUGAUCUUGAAAUUAAAAAGACGGCUCGCCAGUUGAGACAGCAGACAAAGCGAGCUAAGCAACGAUCCUUGUCGCCUUUACUUUCUGAAUUAGAUACGGUGCCUGAUUUAGUUGAAUCAUCUAGUGAUUUAGAAGAACAAGUGAUGGAUAGAGCUGCACCUGUAGAAAGAACUCUUAGAGAGUUAGCUGAACUAGACUUGAAUCAGCAACCACUCUGCAUUCAAUAUGUAGGCUUGGAGGUAAAUUUUGAAUUAAAGUCUGGUCUAUUUAUUUGUUACUCAAGUUUCAUGGUUUUGCAGGUGAAGAUCCUUAUAAACAUCUCAAGGAGUUUCAUGUUGUGUGUUCAAGUAUGAGGUCACAAGGCGUGACAGAAGAACAGAUUAAGUUGCGUGCUUUUCCUUUCUCUUUAGAUGGACUAGCUAAAGACUAGUUGUACUACUUGCCUCCUGGAUCGAUUACAACGUGGAAUGGUUUGAAGAAGCAGUUCCUUGAGAAAUACUUUCCUGCUUCAAGAGCUGCCAACAUCAGAAAAGACAUUUGUGGGAUCAGACAACUUCUUGGGGAGACUUUAUAUGAGUAUUGGAAGCGAUUCAAACAAUUCUGUGCAAGCUGUCCUCAGCAUUAGAUUUCUAAUCAACUUCUUAUUCAAUAUUUUUAUGAAGGACUAUCAUUAAUGGAUAGGAGUAUGAUAGAUGUUGUUAGUGGAGGCGUGUUGGUGAACAAGACUCCUACUCAAGCAAGGGAGUUGAUAUCAAAUAUGGCUGCCAAUGCACAACAAUUUGGCAGCAGGCAAUAUCCCACUUCAAGGAAGGUGAAUGAGGUAAAUAUUUCUUCUGUUGAACAACGUUUAGAUAAACUUACUUCUCUUGUGAAAAAGUUUGUUGUAGGUAAUGUCCAACAGGUGAAGACUUGUGGCAUUUGUUACAAUAUGGGUCAUUCAACUGAUAUGUGUCCUACACUUCAAGAAGAACUCGUUGAACAAGCCAAUGCAGUUGGAGGAUUUCCAGGCAUGCCUCAGAGGAGGUAUGAUCCUUAUGCACAAACAUACAAUCCGGGAUGGAAUGAUCACCCCAACUUCAGCUAUGGAGUUAGGCCAUCAGGAUUCCCACAACAGUAUCCACCAAGACAACCAGCACCUCCACAGUCAAACUCCAAGUCAGGUAUAUCUCUUGAAGAAAUUGUUAAAUCACUUGCGACUAACACUUAACAAUUUCAGCAAGCAACUACAGCAAGCAUUCAGAAUUUGGAGAACCAAAUGAGUCAAUUGGUGACUACAGUGAGCCGUCUGGAGUCUCAAGUAAUAGGGAGGUUGCCUUCACAAUCUGAGGUGAAUCCAAAGCAAAACGUUAGUGCUAUCAUCCUUAAAAGUGGGAAGGAGUUGCAAGAGCCUAGUAAGAAAGUGACAAAGCAUGUAGAAGAUGAGCUUGAGAAGAAUGAAUUGAUGCCUAAAUCUCAAGAUGCAAAACCCACCAGAGCGAAACCCCUACCUAUUGUGAUACCUCCUCCUUUUCCAAGCCGGUUUGCAAAAUCCAAAAAGGAGGAACAAGAGAAAGACAUCCUUGAGACAUUUCACAAGGUUGAGUUAAAUAUUUCUUUAUUAAAUACUAUAAAACAAAUACCUCGAUAUGCUAAAGUCCUUAAGGAACUGUGCACCUCCAAGAGAAAAUUAAGAGGAGAUGAAAAGUUCACAUGGGGGAGAAUGUUUCAGCAGUUCUCCAAAAGAAACUACCUCCUAAGUGCAAGGAUCUAGGUAUGUUUACUAUCCCUUGUAAAAUUGGUAGUGUUAGAGUUGAAAAGGCUAUGUUAGAUCUAGGAGCUUCUAUUAAUGUCAUGUCUCGUUCCAUUUAUUCAUCUUUGAACGUUGGUCCAUUAAAAGAAACUGGUGUGAUAAUUCAACUAACUGAUAGGUCUAAUGCAUAUCCUAAUGGGGUACUAGAAGAUGUCUUAGUACAAGUUAAUGAGUUGAUUUUUUUCCUGCUGAUUUUUAUGUACUUGAUAUGGAAGAGGAUAACUCCUCUAAUUCUGUCCCAAUUUUGCUAGGAAGAUCUUUUCUUAAGACUGCUAGGACUAAAAUGGAUGUACAUAAAGGGACUCUUACUAUGGAGUUUGAUGGAGAGGUUAUAGAAUUCAAUAUGAAUGAUGCCAUGAAAUAUCCUAGUGAGGAACAUUCGGUAUUUUUUAUGGAUGUUAUUAACCCUAUAGUGCAAGAAGUUUUUUACAAGGAAAAAACGAAGACAUUUCAUGAUAGAAUGAUUUUGAGAAAGGAGUUCUCUGUUGAUCAAAAAGUUCUUCUUUUUCAUUCAAAGCUUAAACUUUUUUCGGGUAAAUUACGUUCUUGCCGGGUUGGACCUUUUAUUGUUACUAAUGUUUUUUCUCAUGAUGCAAUUGAAAUUCGGAGUCCGACCUCUGACAAAGUUUUUAAGGUUAAUGGUCAUCGCUUAAAACCUUUUUAUGAAGGUUUUUCGAUGAAUAUUGUGGAGGAUGUGGCUCUCAAGAGUCCCAAUUAUGGAGAUUGAUGCAUAAAUGUGUCCAGCCAAAUACAUAAAACAAAGGCGCUUUUUGGGAGGCAACCCAAAUGAUUUAUUUAUUUUGAUUUUUGUUAUAUCUUCUUUUAAUUUUGAUUCGGAUUUUUUAAAAAAAUAAUGUGUUUGCUUAUUUUGGCCAGAAGAAAAUUUUUGAUAAGGCGUGCCCACGUCUUAACUAAUAAGUACUUCUGUGAUUUUUAAAGUAAAAUGGUUUUAAGGUGUGCCCACGUGCUUAUUUAAAAAGUACUUCUGAAAUUUUUAGUGUCUCAAGUGAUUCAUCAUUAAAAAAAAAUUAAUUUGAUUUAUUUAUUUGAAAAAAAAAUAAAAACGAGAAAAAAAAGAGGUUUUUUUUUCUUUUCUUUCUUUUAUAUAUUAUUUAUUUAAAAAAAUGAAAAAAAAAUCAAAAAUCACUGUUCACAAAAUCCCUAAUUCAAAAAAAUCAUUUUCUUUCCCGCAGCAACCAGCCGCUCCAGCCUUCACCGAGCAUCCCCAGCAGCAGCAGCAACCGUGCGCGCAACCAGCCCCAUCCCGCUCCACACAGCAGCCAUGCACGCUCUGCCCCAGCCUGAGCACGCAACGCAACAAGCGUCACUAGCGCGCAGCACCAGCAAUCCCCCAGCGCGCAGCAUCAGCCCCAGUGUGCAGAUCCAUCGCGCACCAGUUCGCAGCACCAGCAUCCUGCGCACGCGCAGAUCCAGCGUCACCAGCGCGCAACAUCAAUCCCAGCCCGCGCGCGCAACACAACCAGCACCAACCCAUGCAGUACAACCAUCCGCGUGCAACUGAACCAGCAGCCGUGUACCCGCAACCUCCAGCCGAGCAACAAUAGUCCGCAACCAGCCUACGACCUGCAUUCCAGCCGCGUGAAUCGAAAUCUGUGAGUGAAAUUAUUGUAACAAUGCCGAAAAGGAAAGCAUCAACUUCCAAGUCAUCUAAAAAGACAUCCAUCGCAAAGCAAUCUAAGAUUGCCGCUCCUACUACGGUUCCAUGGAACACAAUUUCAGAUUCACGCCAAGCCGUGGGACAAAGAUCGAAACAUGGAAAAGGCAUGAGUGUUUUGCCACUUGGGGAAUCCAAUCUCAGAGGGUGCCUCACAUUCACGACUCAACAAGAGAAAGAAAGGUACAAAGAUAUUUCCAAGCGAAAAUACUUCCAACUAAGUAUAUUCAUUACCCGACUCUUGAAAAAUUGAAUAUUAAGGAUAAUUUUGAUUCUUUGAUAGAUAAGACUGGUUUGCAUAAGUUUGUUGAUGUUGAUUGUUUGGGUUAUGUUGAGUUGAUUAGGGAGUUCUAUGCUACUUUUCAAUUUAAUAUACCGAAUGAUUUUACUUUACAUACCCCGAAUGUUAUAAAGUUUAGGUUAAUGGGAUGAAAUUUUUCACUCUAUCACGGAUUUUAACCUAGCUUUAGGAUUCAUUGAUGAUGAUUAUUCUUCUAGUGAUGCAUAUUUAGGAACAACUUGUGACUUUAGCGAAAAUUUUAAGCCUUAUGGUCUUUGGCGUAAUUUAUCUGUUGAUCACAAUGCCUAUGACCCGAGUAAAUCAAAGAGUUCUUUCUUAUAUGAUCCUGUUUUGAAAUGUGUGCAUCGAUUCUUAGCAUAUAAUUUUUUAGGAAAGAAAGAUCACUCAGGAGUUUCUCUAAAUCUGAAUUUUAUUUUAUCUGGUGCAUGUUAAAUGAUGUGAGGCCUAAUUUAGGUUUUUGGUUAGUAGAUCAAUUUCAAAGUGUGCUUAAACGGUAUAGGACUUUAUUUCUUGGUCCAUACAUUACUCUGUUAGCUACAAACCUAUGUGUGCUUGAUCCUGACAAUAAUGAUUUGCAUCCUGCUUGCAAAAAGGAAUUUUUGGAUAUGUCUGUGUUUGAAAGAACAGGUGCGGUCGAAUUCAAGGAGGAGAGAUUUUAGUUUACUGAAUCAGGACCCACUCAACCUCCAAAGAAGCUUUAUGCUAGGAGUGGUGCUACCUCUGAUGACGAGUUUGACGACGACACUGCUGCUCCGCCGACUAUUCCUUCUACAUCCGCACCACCUUUGAGCAUUCAAUUAGAGAAAAUGGAGCACAAGCUGAACAAGAUGGAGCAGAAUUUGGCCGCAUACUUCGAGAGUGGGAUUUAUCCCACCAUUUCUGCCAAGCCCAUAGACGUUAUAAGGAUCAAAGCUCACAAUUCAGGGAAGUUUUUACCUUUAAUCAUUUAUCCUUACGCUUUAAUUUUUAUGUGAGCUUUGAUUAUCUUACAUUGGGGACAAUGUAAGUUCUUGGUGUGGGGGAGGGAUUUUUGCAUUAUUGAUGUCUGGAAGUAUUAUUUUCACUCUACUCAUUCUUAAACGAUUUUGGAGUUAGUAUGCUUCAUAUAUUAUUAUUUUUCUUUUCUUUUCUUUCUCACUAUUUUUUUCCCAUCUAUCUCAAAUUAUUCAUAUCUAUUUUUAUUUUACCAUAUUCUUUCAUCACUCACAUUUCAUUUUUUUUAUUUCUACAUACAUCUUUCUCGCUUAUUAUCCUUUUUACCUUUCCUUUUAUAUAUCACUCAUACCUUCUUUUCAUUCUACACCACUAUUGAUGGUUGAUUCAUUUGAAGAGUGUACAUGAUUUGAUGGCAAAUUUACCAACUUUGUGAGGAUUUGAGCUUAUGAGCAACCACUUUGCUCUAAUUAUUUUUGUUAUGUGAAUAUCAAUCUUAGUUUGUUUAUUCUAGAACUUGCUUUGUUAUGCAUGUUGAAGCCACAUUACGGGAUUUUAUGCAUUAAAAUGAUAAGGGCAAACUACUUUCCAUUUUUCUAUUCUCACAUUUUUCUUCUUUUUCUCCACCCGAAAACCUUUAUUUGUUAUCUUUGUUUGAGCCUUAACCAUUACCCAUCUAAUUAUCUCCGUCUACUUAACCAUUUUUCUUCUUUUUGAGCCUCAAUUUAAGGAGAUUUUUGGACUCAUUGGGUGGAUAUAUUUUGUUGCUUUUUCUACCUUGUAUUAAAGUUUCUCAAUUAGAUCAACAAGCAUUAUGCAUGAAUUAAAUUGUGCAAGGUUCGUUUCUUUUGUUUGAUUCAUCACUACUGAAAAAAACAAAAAAAAAUUAAAAAAAAAACCAAAAAAAAGAAAAAGAAAGAAAAGGAAAAAGAAAAAAAAUGUUUAAAUUCUUGGUGACUUGAGUAGACAUAAGCAUUUCGGUAUCAUAAGGUUCAUUCAAUAGUUCAUUCUUCUAAUUUUGAUCUCUUUUUCUUUUAUAGACCUUUCUUUUUCAUUUAACCCAUUUAACCCUGUUACAACCUUUUUAAGACCCUUAGAUUUUUGCAUUUAAUUCAUGUUUUGUGGAUUGAGAUGUGAUAUAAGCAAGCUUAUGGUAAUAGCAUUCUUUGAUUUGAUUUGAGUGCAUAAAUGAUACCCUAAACACUUUGAGUGCAUGGAGUGAAGUCAAUGAGAGUGCUAUUAAAUCUUGUUGCACUUGAAUUUUGAAUGGAUCUUCUUGGUGGUUGAAUGUUUUUCUUUUAUAUUAGCUUAUGAGAUCCUAUGCUUUAAAAUUCUUAUCUUUUGAAUGUUGAUCGACUUAAAUUCUUGAGGUAUGCUUGCUUAAGAUUGUUUUCGGAUGAGUUGAGAUGAGAAUUGAGUGGAGAUUUGGGAUUAGUCUUGAGUUAUAUGCUUGAGGACAAGCAUCAUCUUGGUGUGGGGGAAUUUGUUAGAGUACAAUUUAUGCACUAGUUUUGCAUUGUUUACUUCCUUUAAUAUCGAUGUUUUGCACUUAAUAAUAGUGAUUUACUUGUUUUUUAUUUUUGUAGGUGCAAUUCUAUUGAUUGGUGCUAAAAUUGAGCUACAAGAUAAUGUUUGAGGAUGAUUGUUUUCCUAGAGAAAUUAUGAGCUUCAGAAGAACUUUAUUGAUAAGGCGUGGGCGUAUGCUGUCAACUACGGACCUGCAGUUUUUAGUUUAAUGUGUUUUGUCUUUUUGGUUAUUUUUGUAAUUACUAAUUUAAUAUUUAGCUAAUAUUUUAGAUAUUAGUAUUUUAUUUUAAAAAGAACUCUAGAGGAGGAGAGAGGGAAGAGAAUUUAAAAGAGGAAUCUAUUGUCAAAGAAGGGAAGAAAAAGAAACCCUAGAUCUAAAUUUUUCUCUUCUCUAUGAAGAACUAAAUCUAUUAUUCUGGUUGAAGGUUAAUGAAGAUUUGAUUCAUCACUACUGUGAGAUCGUUCUUAUGCUUUAAUUGUUUUAUUACUUUUUGGGUAUUUGUUUAUUCUCUGAAUUAUUGUCAUGAUUAUGUUUGUUAAUUAGAUAUUUGGUCACUAUUUAAUUAUUAACUUAAUGUAUUGUCAAUUAAAAGAUUCAUUGUAUAAAGAUUUUAAUGUUUGUGAUAAAUAGCAUAGCAGUGCAUUGUGUAAUGAGAAUAAACAAUCUAAUUUAAAUAAACCAUCGUAUGCGUUUGGUGAUUAGGAUUUGGGUCUCUCUGGUUUUUCAGGCUGUUAAUUGAUUAAAUCCUAUGAUCGUAUCUAGGGUUGUCUAUUGAUUAGGAAAAUAACCAACGGUCGUACCUUGGUUAUCGACUAGUUAAGGCGAGAUUGGCUAUUAGAGAGUCUCAGUAGCUAUAACCGGUCUAUUCAUAAGUAGUAAUGAUUUAUAUUUGAAUCAAUGAUCAAUAGUCGAAUCAAGCUGAGUUAAUUCCUUCAACCAGAGCUUUCCCCAAUUUAAAUUACAAUUUUAAUUUGCAUUCUUGUUAUUUUAAUUUGAUUUUUAUUAUUGUCAACAAUUCCCCCAUUUUGCAUUUUACAUUUUAAAAGGAUUUAAAUAAUUACCGAUCUCUGUUGACACGACCCUGCUCAAUCACUAUACACAAUUUAUUUAGAGUAUGGCAUUAUGAGCAUACAUUCUCUACCCUACAAGGUGAAUUCCUAUGUCUAAUUCUUCACACAUUUUAACUCAAAGAUAGCCCUUUUGGGACUCAAGUAAUCUUAAUCCAGGAAACUUAAGUUAUGAUCAAGUAUUACUCUAUUAAUUUCCACUAAGACAGGUCCUUUUGCAGCUCUUUCUUAACUUGAACCAUUAAAUGGGUGGUCAACCAAAAUAAUGAUUAUAAUAAUAGUUAUUAGAGUAAAAUGCUAUAGCAAUCUUGUAGCAACUCAUAAGAACAGUCAAAAACCCAUUUAGAUUGUUUGUCACUCAACUACAAACAGAUUUAGUUCAUACUUCGAAAAAGAAAAGUAAACAGCAAAGUAUUGGCCAUGAAAUACAUCGUUUCAAUCAAAGAGUAAGAAAAGGAACAAGUAAAAAACAAUGAAAAUUGAAUCCAAAUUGUUCUGCUGAUUUCUUCACUGAUGCAGACUUGAGUUUCCCUUGAAUUCUGAUUUUUCCUUCUUUUCCUCUUGAUUUUCUUGAUGUCAAUUCACCGCCACCCUUUUUAUGUGAUGUGCGCUCUAUUUAUAACUGAAAACUAAGGUAAACCAAAGCCUAGGGCACGCGUGAUUCAAAUUAGAAAACUGCAGAUUGCAAUUUUGCAGAUAUCUCGCACUAAGUUUUCUCUAUAGUUGUUCCACGAUUACUACAGCAAUGGUUGCCCCAACAACGGCUAUAGCACUGCACUGCUCCAGAUCUUGUUUCAAUUAUUUUGUGGCCAUAUUCUUCCUCAUUUUGCCAUCCUAUUGCAUCAGCAUCUCUUCCAUAAAUUAUAAGCUUCUGGAAACCUACAAUUAUGCACAUAAUUUGAGCACGAAUUACCUUAAAUCACGUAAAACUUAUUAAGACUAAACUAAAAUGAAUGUUUAUUCAAAAUAUAACAAAAAUGUAAUAAAAACACAUCAUUUACUCUCUAAGUGAUCUUGAUUUGAGUCUAGAAUGGCCAUAAUAACUCUCAUUUCAUAGAGUUAUCACCCAACUUCACAAAUGCAGGUGCAAACUUCUUAAUAGCACGUGAGAAAUUGACUCCAAAUUGUCUUGAAAAGAGAAUAACUACGGUUAAAAAGCAUCAAGUAUCGCAUUAUAGAAUGCGAUAAUUCCUAUGACCACACCGUCCACCGAUGGCAUUGCUUCUCCACUGCCAGAACCUUCUCUAAUCGCUGGCGACAUCCCCACUGAUCAACAACCCUCACAACAACUAUUAACAUUUCAAACCAUAAACCCUAGAUUACAACAAAUCUUUCAAAAUAUGCUCUACGUUGUCGCCACCUUGCCUACCUCCGUUGGUGGCGAUUACUUACUGACGAAACCACCGUUGAACCUUAUGUACUCCUAACAGCUGCCUUUCACCCUCCCUGUACCACCAACCCCCUCAGGCACCAGUACACACGAGCACAAUCAAAACUCAAGCACCACUUAUUGGCCACUAUUUCUGACUCCUUUUAGUAAGACAAAUCCCCUUAGCUGCAAUAUAUCUCACCAACACCUUGCUGUCUCUCUUUUGGCCACCGCUAGUGGCACCAUCAACCUGCCAGCCAUCUCAUAUCUGCCACUUUUGACCACCCAAACCCACUCUACUGUUUAAAACUGAGACCAGCUGCUAAAUGCAGAAAACCUUAGUUAUAAUAAAGAAACCCUAGCCAACAUCCAUCUUUCCAAACCUAAAACUAAACCAAACAUCAAGCCCAAACCCAUGACCCUUUUUCCACCCCUCACUCUUGGUCAUACAUCCAACCCACCCUAAAAGGCCUCUUAUACAUCUAUUACAAAUCCUGAAGUUAUCCUCAACCGUAAUGCUAAGUCUUUUGUUGAUGUUAUUGCUGGCCCCCUGGAAUCUUCAAUUUGGGAAAAGCCAGUUUUAAUAUUUCAUGGUAAAAUUGUUAUCCACUUUUCAGCUACAGAUAUCCAGCCCAUAGCAUAACCAUUCAAACUUUCCCUUGUUAGUAAGUUUUUGUUUAGCCGCCCUCCUGUAGAUGUGAUUCACAAAUUCUUUGUUUCUUGAGUUUUAAAGGUAGUACACAGGUUACUUUGCUAGAUAAUUGAUCAAGCUUUAACUUGGAGUGGAUUACUCAUGUAUUUGGGUUAGGCAGACUUGGUAUGUUAGCGGCAAGUUCACGCGUACUUUUAAGUAGUCUACAUUUAUGCUCUAAGGAGUCUCAGUUGUUCUUGUUUAGGAGUCUUUGCCUUAUUUACCUGUGCAUUUCAUUCAUUACAGAGAUGCUUUAUUUUCUAUUGUAAAUGCUAUUAAAAAGCCUUUACGGGUUGACCGUGCCACUGCUGCUGUUAAUAGGCCCUCGGUGGCUCAUGUACUCAUUGAGUAUGAUGUUUCACGGCUAUUGUUACCAAGACUUUGGAUUAGUAAGGGUGAUAAUGGGUUUUGGCAAGAUAUCAUCUAUGAGCGUGUUCUGUUAUAUUGUGCCACGUGUAAGCAUCUUGGUCACUUUGCUGAUGCUUAUUUUGUUUCUAAUCAUGGGCUUCAAAAGCCCCAAUCACCUAUUGGUUAGGUGAAGGAUAUAGUUGUUGAUGAUACAAGUACGAUACUUAUUACUGAUGGUUUUGUCUAGCCUACUAGGGAUUUUGCUACGUAUGUGGUUACUAAGGAUAAUCGACUACAGAGGCCUGCUCUCGUCCAAGGUCAGUCUUUGGGCCUGGCCCCCUCGAUGAUGUUGCUUGGCCGUCUGCUCUUUUUCCUCAAGAUACUGUAGACGCGACAUCUAAUUCGAUUUCUUCUCUGUGAGUUCCAGAUGAUGAUGGUUUGCAACAUAAUGUUGCUCUAAGAGAUGUUGAUGGAUGCACUAAGGUUGCUAAUUCUCUUGUUUUGGAUAAUCCGAGCGCUCUAAGGACUUCCACAAGCUUUACUUUUUUCAGGUCUAUAGUGGAUGAUAUUCACUCCAUGGUUGUGAGUUUUAAUUACCAUUCUACAGAUAUCCCUAAUCAGUCGGAUGAGGAGUUUAGCUCUGACAGAAAUCCUGCAGUUCAUGAUUAUUUUGCGUCUAAGCCUGAGGGUAUAGCGGGGCAUGAUCUUGACCCCGACCUCAGUAUUGGUGGCCUCCAUUCCUCUAGUUUUAAGAAAGGUUUCAAAUUAGUUAAUGGUCGUAAGUAUUGUAAGUAUUUUUCUCGGCGUUUGCAUUAAUUAAUUAUCUUUAGCUUCUUAUUUAUUCUAUUAUUGUUUUCAUUCUUUUUCCAUUAGUUGGUUAUUUUUGUUCAUUUGCUUGGAGAUUUUGGUCUACGUCCCCCUCCAUAUGUAAUUUUGUUUAUAUUUUAAUAAUCAUAGGUAAGGGGGUCCCGCCUAACCCCACCAACUUUGGUUGAUUUUUAAUUAAAAAAAGCACAAAAAUUGACAAUUAAAGAAUUGAUCUAAAAUGGUAAGACAUGGGAAGUUUCUAGAUAUUAAAAUAUGAAGAAUUUUCUCAUGAAGGGCCUUCCACAUCGUUCUUUUGUUGCCUCUUAACAUGUUGUGAACGGAGAGUGCUUCUGAGUGUCGCUCUCAUUUUACUAAGAUGAAAAAUUAUGGAGGAGCAGAGUUCCUGUAAAACAGCAUAGUUGUGAUAAGUGUUUCGCGUUGCAAUCCCGAAGUAAAAGUUCAUUUGUCUAUGACCACUUUUAUACCCCUCCGGCUGGUGGCUUUUACUACGCAUGUCCAUUGAUGUGAUAAUAAUUUAUAUAUUUCUUAAUUUAAUUUUAUGUUAAAUUAUAUUUUAUCAUAUUAAUUAUAUCUUAAUCUUUAUUUUUGUUAUUUUAGGUACAUUUUAGGAAUAAAGAAGAAUUAAAUCAGAAUAUUCAAAUAAGAAGAGCUUAAAGAAGAAAUUGAUUGGAAAUUUAAGGAAGAUAAUGGGAGUUAAAAUGGAAGAAAAUCGAAGCAACCAAGGCCUAAUUGUAGUUCACGUGAAGAUGAGAAGAAUUAGCAUUGGAAAUAAGUUAAUUAAUAAGGCAAAUCAUGUGAAGAAUAGAGUAAAAGAAGAAAGCAUUCUGGUGAUGGGCUUUGGCCAAAUCAUUAUUGGCUUAUUAAUUGAACAAGUCACGUGCAUGCAUGAAAGAAAAGAAGCGGUUUGGCUUUUGUUUUUAAUUCUUUCCAUAUAAAGAGUUAAAGGCCACAAUUGAAACAAUAUAAAAGGGCACGAGUGGAAGGCCACAAGAGAGGAGGGCAGCCGCACAAAUUGGAAGCCAAGAGAAAAAAAAAACCGAGAGCAAGAAAAAAGAGAGAGAGAGAGAGAGAGAGAGAGAAAAGCCGCCGCUGCAAAUUUUUGCAACAAUUUGGAGAAGUCGAUUGCCGAGAUUGAAGAGAGACAGCUUUUUGAGUUUACUCUUUCUCUUCUCUUUUUCUAUUAUCUUGUUUGAAUGUUCCUAAUUAAAUUUAUGAAUUCUCUUUAUAUUCCCAUGAACUAAUUUAUUUUGCUAGGGCUACGAUGUAGCCUAACUAUAAAGAUUUAUUUCCAUAAAUAUAUGUUAUUUUUAGUUUAUUAUUUCAUGGUUGAGUGUUCAUUAUUGUGCUUAAUACUUUUAAAUAUUUGGUCAAUAUUUAAAUGAUUUAAGGAUAUAUAAUGAGACCGAAAGGAGAUUUAUGUAUUUUUGCUCUAUGUAAUGGAUGCCAUGACAGAGAUGUGCCAACGUGAUUCAUGUAGUUUUUCUAAGAAUUUCCAUAGAACUUAAUGAAUCUUUGCAUAUUUAAAUUCACAGAGAGAUAUAGUGGGUUAAUAUGUGAAGGUAUUUUUGAUUUUACUCGGGAGAGGAUAUUGAAUAGAUUAGGGAAAUUCACUGUCAACAUUGGUAAUAAAUUUUAAUAACAUAAAUGGAGGAUUAAAAUUGGAUUGGUUAUGGUGAAAUCAGAUGUCCUAGAGUCAUAAUCUCUUCGUGAUUUCUAUUACUGCUUGCAUAUUUAUUUAGUUUUUAGUUAUUUUAUUCUAUUUUAAUUUUUUUUAUCUAAAUCCGUCUAUACGAUUGUUCAAAUAAAUUAGGAUUAGAAUAAUUUCGGUAGCUAAUAGGAUAUACAAUCUCUGUGGGACGAUAUUCUACUCUUCAUUUUAUUACUUGUGCCGACUAAUACACUUGCUAAUUUAUGCAUCAUCCACCAUAGUCCGAUAAGCAAGCAUAUAACACUUUUUAUUGGAGAAAUGUUUGAUUAGAAUAUGAUGGGUAUUGUUAUCCGGACUAAUUCGUCCAAUUUCCUCGUAACAUUCAUUACGCUCUCCAUAGCACCAGCUAUGCAGUAGGCAUAGAGCAUGCAAUUUAAAUCAUAUUUGUCAUACUUGACUUCAAAAUACCCAGCCAAUUUGCCUCUUCAAAACACCCACCCUGGCAGAAUGCUGAAAUCAUGAUACUGUGGGCAUAGUCAUUUGCGUGAGGCAAAUAAAAUUUGUGGUUAACCUAAAAGCUUAGAUAUAGUACUAUCUUUUGUUUGGUUAAUAUCUGACUGAACUAUGUUAAUUUAAUUUAAUAAAUUAUUAAAUAAAAUUCUGAUAUUCAAUAUAAAAUUACUUGGUUAAAAAUUCGUGAAAUUCACUUCUAUGUUUAAUUUAUAUUAAAAUAUUAGGUUAAAUGAAAAAGAAAAAAGUGAUAAAGAGGACACAAAGCUUUUGUUUAAUCUUAUCUCACCUAAACCCCUAUAAAAAUAAGGAUUAAUAAUCCUAUUAGUUUUAGACUAAAUUUAAGUUUACUCUAAUGGUCCAUGACAACCAAACAUACCUUAGAUUAAAUUAUUUUGUUAGUUUCAAAAUCUAAUUGAAUCCCACAAUUUAUCGAAGCUCCCAAAAACAGCCUAAUAUAUAGUUAAAAAAUAUUGUAUUCAUAAAAAUGCGGUACAAGUAAGAAUACCAACGUUAGUGCACCAAUAUACAUAUGAGAUAGGAUCAACUAUCUCUCUCUUUUGAAACAAUAACUUACACAAAAUCUUAACCUUUUAACAUUACCUAAUGAUCUCUUUAAUACUAUUUUGAUUUUAAAAAAUGGUGUCUUUAAUACUACUUUGAUAACAAAUGGGUUACAAAAUUUUGAAAGAAGGCAAUAUUUAUUAAUAUCAAAAAUAAAACUUAAUGGGCCCUAAUAUAUUAUUAAAUAUUUUUCUUCUACUUCAUCUUAUUUUCUCUCCAUAAUUAAUAUGAUUUGAUUCUCUCAAUCUUUCACUUGCUUUAAACAACUCUCCUCUAAGUAAUCACCAUACAGAUUUUCCAUUAAAAUACAAUCGUCAAUGGCAGAUAGAUAAAAGAAGAAACCAAAAAGUCCAGUUAUACUUCAAAUUAUGCUAUAUUAUUAUGCUAUUUUAUUAAUUAUUGGGAACGUGUGCAGCAACUAAUGUGUGCAUGGAGCAACUAACGUGUGCAUGUGCAGUAACUAUUGUAAUAUUCUAUAGCUUUUGUAUUCCAUUAGGAAUAGAAGGAGCAGCUUUUGUAUUCCAUUAGGAAUAGAAGGAGCAUAUUUAGGAGACUAUUUAGAGAUUUCGUAGCUAUCUUUGAUUUUGGUAUAGGUGUAUAUAUGAAUAGCCGUGUGAUAUACAAUAAACAUACAAAUUUCUUCCCCUCUCACAAACGUUUUCAUGGUAUCAGAGCCUUGAGCCGAACCUUCUAAUAAAUCAAAAUUUUUCCAUAACCGACGCCGAAGCUAAGCACCAUGGCUGGAAGGGAAAAGGAAAACCCAAAUAUGAUAGAUUCGUCUUCAUCUUAUUAUCUUCAUCCCUCUGAUCAUACGGGCAUGAUUAUAUCCCCGGUGAAAUUAAAUGGUGAGAAUUAUGAAGAGUGGUCAUGCUCGAUGCGUAAUGCAUUUUGGGCAAGAAGAAAACAAUCGUUUUUUAAUGGCAAGAUUGAGAAACCUGCCGAAGAUGCUCCUAAAAUUGAAGAUUGGUGGAGUGUGAAUUCAAUGCUUGUAGGAUGGAUAUUUACAUCUUUUGAACCGCAUAUUCAUUCAACAAUCACCUACUAUGAUACUGUUAAGGAACUCUGGGAUGAAUUAAAAUUGAGAUUCUCAAUUGGGAAUGGACUACGGGUGCUGCAGUUGCGAUCCGAUCUGGUCAAAUGUAGACAAGAUGGGCAGACAGUAGGAGCCUAUUUUGGACGUCUCAAGAUUCUGUGGGAUGAACUCAGCAACUAUGUUCAACCUCCUGUCUGUUCUUGCGGCAACUGCGCCUGUAAUCUGUCAACGCAGUGGGAAAAAAAAAGGGAAGAAGAAUGUGUUCACCAAUUCUUGAUAGGACUUGAUGAUACGAUUUAUGGGACAGUUCAUUCUAAUAUUAUUGCUCAAGAUCCUCUUCCCUCACAAAGUCGUGCUUAUGCCUUGGUGGUACAAGAGGAAAGACAUCAAACCAUUACAAGGAUAUGUGAUGUGCGUGUCGAAGCCGUGAGCUUUGGUGUCCAAGCACCCAAGGCACAACAAGGUGUUGCUGCGUCUUUUUUGAAUAAUGCAAAUGGAGAAAAAUCAGUGUGUAAACAUUGUGGCAAAACCAGUCAUGAGAUAUCAUCUUUCUUCAAGAUUAUUGGAUAUCCGGAGUGGUGGACUGCUAAUCGUGGAAAGGGUAACUCAGGCAGACGAGGGCAGACAAAUAAUUUUGUUGGGCAUAGUAAAUCGCAUGCUGCUGUGACUAACGCUGCUCUUAUGCCUGCUGGUGGAGGAGGAAACUAGGCUAGUCCGACUCUGUCAGCAUAAGAUCAGGCUGCCCUUGCAACUACUCUCACGGAUGAUCAAUGGGAAAUUAUGGUGAAUAUGCUUAAUUCACAAAAUAAGGAUGUUUCAAAAGAGAAGCUUUCUGGUAAGUGGAUUCUAGAUACAGGGGCUUCGAGACAUAUGACAGGAAGCAGAGAAUUAAUGACUGAUCUGCAAAAUAUUGGGCUUUCGCCCAUAGGUCUUCCAAAUGGCACAUGCUCUCAUGCUCAGUGCGAGGGCACUGUUGAGUUUGGAAACAAUUAAAGAAUGAAUCAUGUUCUAUAUGUACCUGAUUAUUGGUUAUUUCAUUUUUUUCGGUGGUUCUCCCAUUUCCUGGAAGACAAAGAAACAACAUACUGUCUCUCGUUCUUCGACUGAAGCAGAGUAUCGGUCUAUGGCUUUCACUUGUUGUGAAUUAACUUGGUUGACGGCUUUGUUAAAGUCUCUUGGUGUUUCGCAUUCUCUACCAAUGCGUCUUUACUGUGAUAGUCAGGCAGCGCUUUGUUAACAUAUAUGUUUCCAUAAUAUUGAUUUUGAUAAUAACAAAUAAGUUUAAGAAUGAUUAAUCUUUUAAGCUCAAAUUAUUUAAUAUUCUUUUUAAAUAAAUCAUUAUUUUAACAUUAUAAAUGUUUUAUAUUUAAUGGAAAAAUAAUUUUAUGAAAUUGAUUGUUUUUAUUCUUUUUAAAUAAAUCAUUAUUUUCACAUUAUAAAUGUUUCAUAUUUAAUGGAAAAAUGAUUUUAUGAAAUUGGUUGUUUUUUAAAAUUUAUGGUUUAAUUGAAAGAAUUUUGAAAACUUUGAAAUAAACAAGUAUUGCUUGAAAUUUUGGAGAAGGACUUAUUUGAAAAGUGUCAUAGCAUUUUGGGCUAUACCAUAAUUUUAGAAAGUUUUGGGAUUAACAAAGCAUUACUUAGAAAUUCUGAAAUUGGACCUAUGUGCAAUGUUUCAUAACGUUUUGGGUCAUACUAUAGUUUUAUAAAGUUUUGGCGUCAAACUAUAAUUUCAGAAAAUAUUUUCACUGUAGCAAUUUCACUGUAGCAAACGGCUAACCGUUUAUUUAAAAUGGCUAACCGAUAAUUUCCAGAAAGCAUGUUCUGCAAAGUAUUGUUAAAAUGAUGAUUCUGGAAAAUAACGGUGAACCAUUUACUGAAAACGGUUAACCGAUUAUUUCCAGAUUGCUAACCUUGAACCGUUUAGUAAGAACGGUUAAAUCAAAUUUGUUUUGUAGGUCUCUGGAAAUUAACGGCGAAAGGGUAAGCCCAAACGGCUAACCGUUUAUUUAAAAAUUGGCCCAACGGUAACUUUGACCGGCCUAAACGGUUAACCGUUAAUGGUUAACAGCGAACCGUUUUCGAGUAGACAGUCUAUAACGGCUAGUUUUUUAGCUCCAACUAUAAAUAUGCUCAAUCCAAUUCAAAUAAGAAGAAUUCCAACGAUCAUCAUUGAGCAAAAUAUAGAGAAUACAACUUUCAUUGAGCUUUAAAUCUUUGUAUUCAUCUCAUUCAUUCACACAUUGAGCUUUCACUUGAGAUCAAACACAUUGUGUGAGAGGGAUUCAUUUGUAAUCUUUUUUGUAAAAUCAAGUUAAAAGAUUGUAAGUGUUGGGAUACACUUGGGUUAAGAGAUUGGGGAUAAUCUCUUGUUGUAAAGGUCCAUUGACACCUUGGAAGUCAAUUGUAAGUGUUUGAAGCCUUGAGAGGCUAACUUAGUGAAAUCCUCAAGCCCGGUGAGCUUGGAGGCGUGGACGUAGGCGGGGAUUGCCGAACCACGUAAAAAUCAUUGUGUUCGUUUUCUCUUCUCUUACUCUUUUAAUAUUGUGCAUGAUUGAAUUUAUUGUUUUCAAUUUGAUUAAGGCAAUAGAUUAAAUUGUUGUGUGGUUUGCCUAGGAUAAUUUUUAAAAUCCCAAUUCACCCCCCCCCCCCCUCUUGGGUUGCCUAGUUAGUAUUUCAUUUGGUAUCAGAGCGAGGUGCUCUUUUGUAGACUUAACCGUCUAGAGUUAAAGAUCUAUAGCAACCCAAAUUAGCUCAAUCUUCAUGGAAGGCCAAUCCACCACUAGACCUCCAUUCUUUGAUGGUAAUGACUAUCCUUAUUGGAAAACUAGGAUGAGAGUGUUUUUACAAGCCUUAGAUUAUGAAAUAUGGGAAAUAGUUUGUGAUGAUUCAUUCAUUCAUAGGAAGAAUGUUUUAAGUGAAUUGGAUAAGAAAAAUAUGUCUUUAAAUUCCAAGGCUAUGAAUGCUUUAUUUUGUGCCUUAGAUAAAAAGGAAUUUCAUAGAGUUUCAAAUUGUUCUAAUGCUUAUGAAAUUUGGAGAAAACUUGAAAUUGUGUAUGAGGAGACUACAAACGAGGAGGAAUUUCAUGAAGUGUCGAAUUUGGCACUUAUGACAAUUGUAGAUGAAUCGGAUGAUGAACUUGAUGAGGUAAAUCAUCUUCCUACUUAUGAUGAAUUACAUGAUGCGUUUAAAGAAUUGUAUAAUGAGUGGAUGAAAAUUGGUAAAAAAAAUGCAUGUUUUAAAAAGAAAAUGGUAAAGCUCACAAAUGAAAAUGAAUCUCUAAGUGCAAAGAUUACAUGUCUAGAAUUAGAGAAUAAAACAUUGCAUGAUGAAGUUACAUUAUCAAAUGACAAAUUUAGCACUUCACAAAAGCAUCUAGAAUCACAUGUAGAUAACUUGAAAAAUGAAAAUGAUGCUUUACAAAAAUGCAAUGAUUCAUUAAAUGAAAAGAUUAAAGGACUAGAGUUAGAUAAUAAAAUGUUGCAUGAUAGAAUUGCAUCAUUCACAUGUAAACAAAGUACUUUGUAUGAGCAUGAGAAAUCACAUGUUGAUGAAUUAAUAAAUGAAAAUGAAACACUUAAGAAAAGGAGUAAUGAGUUGAAUGAGAUUGUUUUGAAACUCACAAAUGGGCAAAAGAUGUUGGAUAACAUGCUUAAUUCACAAAAAUGUGUGUUUGAUAAAGGAGGACUUGGGUAUAAGCCUUACUUGAAACAAAAAUAUUAUAAGAAUUAUUUUGUUAAGGCUACCUCCACAAAUGAUCAAAUUGUAUGUCAUUAUUGCAAUCAAAAUGGUCAUAUGAAGAAUAGAUGUCCAAUUAAAAGAAAUGUGUAUUAUGGAGUCAAAUGUAUUUGGGUUCCAAAAGGAACUAAAUCUAACAUUCAAGGACCCAAGAGUAUUUGGGUACCAAAGGGUACAACUUGAAUUUGUUUUUGUAGGUACCAUAAACAAGGAAUGGUGGAGAGUUCCUUGAUGAAGCUUGUGGAGAUAAUCACUUGAUCAUAAUCUAAAGCAAAAAUAAUGAGGCAAGAUGAUUUAAUUGUUUUGGUAACUAUUAUUGCCUUAUUGAUUAUAAGUGAUGGUAUUUUAAUCUUAGCAAAUAUUUAACACUUCAUUUGGUAUCAUAACAUUAAGUGUAUUAACAUGAUGUGGAUAAGUUUAUCUUGGCUAUUUACUAUAUUGAGUGAAUCAUGAUAAAUGAAUUUGCGAAAGUAUGCUUGUAUGUUUACAUGAUGGAAUUAUCAUUGUGUUUAACAUUGAGUGCUUUAUCAUGAUGCAUGGUUAUAUAUAUAAGAUGAUAGCUUGUCAACUCAUCAUGAUAGCUUUGUUUGAUUUUGAUGAUUAUAUAAUGCCUAAGCUUGAUAAAUGAGUGAUAUGCUUGAAUUAUUAAUCUUUGAAUGCUUAUAUGUUUCAUGAUUGUGUAAAAUAUACACAUGAUGAAUGAAUUAUAUGUGUGAAUUCUUGUGCUAUUAAUUGUGUUAUAUCAUCAUUCAUUUAUAAAAUUGACAUUAUUGGUUGAUACGAUUUCAUAUGUUUGGUCUUGUAUGCAUAUAUGUUCCAUGCACUAAUUGACUUAUUGAAAAGUUAAAUGAAUUUUAAAAUUGAUCAAUUUCUAAGCCAAAAAUAAAUUUGUGUCUAAGAGCUUACAAAAUUUCAAAAAUAUUUUCCAAAGCUUAACCGGUAUACCACUUCCAUAGUGUGCUCUCCUUAUGGAUUUUACCAUAGUUUUCUAUUAUAUUAUGCACUUACAUGUUCAUAUGCUUUGUUGCUUUCAUUGUGGAUUGAUGAUGAUUAUUGUUUGCUAUUUGGAUGUUUUAUAUUUGGAUAAUGUGGAACUAAUGUGUUUAUCUUGACUUUUUGAUGAUCAAGAGGGAGAUAUGAGAUGUAAAGGAGAAAUACAUCUACUUUGAGAUUCUUAAGUAUAUGUUGAUUUUGAUGAUCUAUAUAUUGCUAUUAUGUACUUAUGCUUUACUUAAGUUUUGAUGACAAAGAAUGUGCUUUGAUGAUUCCAUUGUAUUUGAUGAAUUUUGAUUUUAUGGAAUUUAUGAUUGGUGAAUGGAUACAUUUUUUUUUGCUUUCUUGACGCAUUGUUAAAUAUGCAUUACUUGUUUUAAAUGAUAUCAAAAGGGGGAGAAAUACAUGAUCAUUGAGAUCUUGGCGCAUAUGAGAGUGUAAGUUAUAUUAAAAUGUCGCUUUAGGUCUUUGAUGAGUUUAGUUGUCUUGAUUUCUAAAAUGUGAUUAGUAAUUAUAGAGCUUGAAUUGUUGACAUUAUGCUCUUAUGACUUUUGCAUUCCCUUUCUUAGCUUAUUACUUGUUCUAUUUUGGAUAAUAUGCUUUUUGAACAUUUUUAUUGUCCAAAGGGGGAGACAAAGUAAUAAAUCUUUUUAAUGAUGUAAAUUGGGGGAAAUAACAUGCAUUUUGAGCAUUCUUUUAAUGGUUGAUAUAUGAUUAUGGAAUCCUCGGAUAUAAUUGUUACAAGUGUUGGGGGAAUUCAUAAUGAUUGAUGAUUAUAUGUGCAUUGCUUGAUGAAUUGAUGAAGUUAUUGGUUUGUUAUAAUUGUUGAAGCUUAUAUCUUUUUAACCAUGUUGUUUAUUUGAGAAUUUGUUCUUUUUUAAGGGGAGACUUUAUCGAAAUUUUUGCUCAUACAAAAUGGGUAAUAUCUUCAUUGAAUUAUUUUUGAUGAUCUUGUUUCGAUUGCAUCUAUCUAUCUUUCCUUUUUACGAUGAAGGGGGAGAUAAAUAUGAUAUGUUUUUAGAUAAAAUCAUUUUGGUUAAAUUUCUUAAAUUGGCCAUAUAUUUAGGGGGAGCAUAUAAUAUGAUUUUGGAUAAUAUGCAUUUUGAACUUUUUUUGUCCAAAGGGGGAGACAAAGUAAUAUCUCAUUUCGAUAUUGUCAAAAGGAGGAGAAUAAUAUGCAUUUUGAGUAAUUAUUUUGAUGAUUAAUAUGUGAUUAUGGUGAUGAUUUUGAGAUAUCAUGAUGAUUUGAUUACAUGGUGUGUAUCAUAAUUUAAAAUAAUUUGGGAGUAAUAUUACUAAACUUGUAUUUGAGGUGAUGCUUGUUGAUAGGGGGAGAAUGUGUCAAAAUUUUUACUCGGCUACAUGGGUAACAAAUUUGCUACUCUUUUUCUUUUCCACUAAGUUUUCUUUUUGAUGAUGAGGGGGAGAAAAAUCCAUGUAUUUAAAUAUGUUAAUUUAGCUAAUUGGCAAAUUGUAAAAGAAGAUUAUAUUUAGGAGCAAUUUGUGGAAUCAUUCUUUAAAUACAUGAAAUGUUUGUCAUCAUCAAAAAGGGGGAGAUUGUUAACAUAUAUGUUUCCAUAAUAUUGAUUUUGAUGAUAACAAACAAGUUUAAGAAUGAUUAAUCUUUUAAGCUCAAAUUAUUUAAUAUUCUUUUUAAAUAAAUCAUUAUUUUAACAUUAUAAAUGUUUUAUAUUUAAUGGAAAAAUGAUUUUAUGAAAUUGAUUGUUUUUAUUCUUUUUAAAUAAAUCAUUAUUUUCACAUUAUAAAUGUUUCAUAUUUAAUGGAAAAAUGAUUUUAUGAAAUUGGUUGUUUUUCAAAAUUUAUGGUUUAAUUGAAAGAAUUUUGAAAACUUUGAAAUAAACAAGUAUUGAUUGAAAUUUUGGAGAAGGACUUAUUUGAAAAGUGUCAUAGCAUUUUGGGCUAUACCAUAAUUUCAGAAAGUUUUGGGAUUAACAAAGUAUUACUUAGAAAUUCUGAAAUUGGACCUAUGUGCAAUGUUUCAUAACGUUUUGGGUCAUACUAUAGUUUUGUAAAGUUUUGGCGUCAAACUAUAAUUUCAGAAAAUAUUUUCACUGUAGCAAUUUCACUGUAGCAAACGGCUAACCGAUAAUUUCCAGAAAGCAUGUUCUGCAAAGUAUUGUUAAAAUGAUAAUUCUGGAAAAUAACGGUGAACCGUUUACUGAAAACGGUUAACCGAUUAUUUCCAGAUUGCUAACCUUGAACCGUUUAGUAAGAACGGUUAAAUCAAAUUUGUUUUGUAGGUCUCUGGAAAUUAACGGCGAAAGGGUAAGUCUAAACGGCUAACCGUUUAUUUGAAAAGUGGCUCAACGGUAACUUUGACCGGCCUAAACGGUUAACCGUUAAUGGUUAACGGCGAACCGUUUUCGAGCAGACAGUCUAUAACGGCUAGUUUUUCAGCUCCAACUAUAAAUAUGCUCAAUCCAAUUCAAACAAGAAGAAUUCCAACGAUCAUCAUUGAGCAAAAUAUAGAAAAUACAACUUUCAUUGAGCUUUAAAUCUUUGUAUUCAUCUCAUUCAUUCACACAUUGAGCUUUCACUUGAGAUCAAACACAUUGUGUGAGAGGGAUUCAUUUGUAAUCUUUUUUGUAAAAUCAAGUUAAAAGAUUGUAAGUGUUGGGAUACACUUGGGUUAAGAGAUUGGGGAUAAUCUCUUGUUGUAAAGGUCCAUUGACACCUUGGAAGUCAAUUGUAAGCGUUUGAAGCCUUGAGAGGCUAACUUAGUGAAAUCCUCAAGCCCGGUGAGCUUGGAGGCGUGGACGUAGGCGGGGAUUGCCGAACCACGUAAAAAUCAUUGUGUUCGUUUUCUCUUCUCUUACUCUUUUAAUAUUGUGCAUGAUUGAAUUUAUUGUUUUCAAUUUGAUUAAGGCAAUAGAUUAAAUUGUUGUGUGGUUUGCCUAGGAUAAUUUUUAAAAUCCCAAUUCACCCCCCCCCCCCUCUUGGGUUGCCUAGUUAGUAUUUCAUGCUUCAUAUUGCUGCCAAUCCUGUAUUUCAUGAGCGCACUAAGCACAUUGAAAUUGAUUGCCACUAUGUGCUGGACCAAAUCCAUGCUAGUAAUAUUGCUACUUCUCAUGUUCGUACUUCAGAGCAACUUGCAGACAUUUUCACAAAGGCGCUUGGUCGACGCCAGUUUGAGAAUAUCCUUCGCAAGUUGGGCAUUCGUGAUCUUCAUGCUCCAACUUGAGGGGGAGUAUUGGGAACGUGUGGAGCAACUAACGUGUGCAUGUGCAGUAACUAUUGUAAUAUUCUCUUUGUAUAGCUUUUGUAUUUCAUUAGGAAUAGAAGGAGCAGCUUUUGUAUUCCAUUAGGAAUAGAAGGAGCAUAUUUAGGAGACUAUUUAGAGAUUUCGUAGCUAUCUUUGAUUUUGGUAUAGGUGUAUAUAUGAAUAGCCGAGUGAUAUACAAUAAACAUACAGAUUUCUUCCCCUCUCAAACGUUUUCAAAUUAUCUUUUUGUCAAAAUUUCAGUGAUGAAGAAACUCAAGAGCAAGUACAAGACAUUUAAAACGUACGUUUGGUUAAUUUUUUUUUCUUUUAAUUACUUAAUUAUAUAUGCUCUGUUGUGACGUUUUUGCUUAUGUUAAUCAUAUUUCUUUUUCGAAAAGACAAGUCAAUUUGCUUAUGCUAAUCAUAUUUCUUUUUUGAAAAGACUUGUUAGUUUUUCUCUUAAAUUUCUCUUUAAACUUAUGUUUUCGUAAUUUUUUAAUAUAAAUACAUGAUGCAUUUUCUGCUCAAUAUACUACUGUGAAUAAAGUAAUUUAAGAUGACAUUUUUGUAGGUGUAUCAACUGAAGGAACAAGAAAGCUGUUAAAUUUGAUCGUUGUUGGAAUCAAAUAUUGGAUAGUGAAAGGCUUCUAAAAAUGACAAGUAGCUUUCUAUAAAACAAAGCGUUUAUGAUUGAAUCCACUGACUGCACUCAUAUUCUUUAAACUCAUAUGACUUUGUUAGAGAUUUAUUGUAGAAAUGAAUACGAUAUUAAAAGAUAAAAAAGGCUAAUCGAAUAAUUAGGUGCUCGUGUCUUUAAGCUAACCCAAAAAUUAGGAACUCGUGUUUUUAAUUAGUUAUAUUAAUAUUUUAUCCUUGUGAUUUCUUUUUAUGGCACAGCUCUGAUUUCUCUCCUUAGUUGUUGUUGCGUUUCUCAGUGUUCGCUGCAUAUUGUCAUUUUUCAUGGGUAUGAUUUGCCAUAUGCGAUUUAAAUGGGUCAUGUCCACUGAGCAUCCGUUGUGCCUUAACAUGCUAUGAACCCAUGAUUGAAUAUAAAAUAUAAUUGCAUACAUAACAAAUUCUGCCAUUCUCAUGCUUUUGCUAGAAAAUGGUUCUCAUAUCUGACGACUGUUACUCAAUAAAAGUAACAUAUAUGACAUUUUUGUUUCAUUUAUAAACCUCGACGAGUGAGAGAAUUUAUUAGAAUCAUCGAAAAGAGACCUCAUCAUCGGAAAGAAAUAGAAACUGAAAAGAAAUGUCGAGGCCAACAUCAAUUGAAACUGCACUCUUGGGAUUCAUGCACUAUAAUUCAUCAUCCUUUGGUGCCAGGUGAUGAUGUGGCAACCACGUGUUUGUCGUCCAAGGGAAUUGGCUGAAAAAGCAAUGUGAAAACUACAUCCAUAGUCUCUUGGUUUUGAGCACCAUGCCCGUCUCCAUGUAGAUACAUAAAAUGGGACACUCUCACAACAUUCAAUAUGAAUUCGACUGUAGUUUGCGAUAAGGGAGAAUCUUUAACAGCUCUGUAUGCAUUCACCUUCUUCCACAUCUGUCUCAUCAUAUCCUUGAUGUGUUCACGAGCAACUUCCUCCGAGGCACCAGUUUCCUGCAUGUAACACUGGAUUGAUUUCGGAACAUCCCCUCUCUGUAUCUCAUCCUGAUGAAUUAUUGGGUAAAAAAAAAAGUACAAUCAAUUCAUAAAUAGAGGAUUAAUUCAAUUUCUGUCUUGUUAAAAAAAAAGAAGAAAGAAAAAAUACCGAUGAAGUUCCCAAAUCAUCUUGAAGACGAAGAAUCUUGAAUGACCAGUGAAUUAUAUCUUGAUUACUUUCUAAAAAUUCUAGUUCCUUCUCAGUGAUUGGAUUUGUCCCAGAAAGGUAUGCAGUCAUUGUAACCAUAGGGCCUCCUAUUGAUACCAAUCCAUUUUCCAAGAAUUCUCCCAGAGUUGGCGUGUACUUACCAUGGUACCAUUUCGCCUCCACUAAGUAGGCUUGUAUAUUACGAAGCCACUGAUGCACAAGACAGAAAAUAGCAGUAGUUACAACUUAUAAUUUUUUUUUUUUUUUUUUGCGACAACAACAUCCUAAUUUAAAAAGGAUAAAUCAAAGGAAAGGAAUGGCGGCAGAGGUGCAACUAAUAUUUUACGUACCGCAUUUUUUAUACUUCGAAGUAUAUCAAAAUCCUGUUGUUUUGAGUACGUAAUAAGUAAAUUCAUUAACCAAGUUGUAAAGCGCAAGAAAACAGAUUUUCAUAUAGUCCGGAAGGUGGUUCAAAGCAUAAUUGAUGUCCCACCUGUAGAAAACGAAAAAAAAAAAAAAUUCAUAUGACUGGUCUAUUAAUUUGAGAGGUAGCAAGCAGCUAGCUAGCAGUUGAAUUAAUCAAUUAGGUAUAACAUUAAUUUGCCAACAAACCUCUCAACAGCAUCAGCAAAUAGCUCAAGUUCAUCCAAAGUUCCAUAAACAUCAUAAAUAUCAUCAAUCACUGAAAUUAGAGCAAAUGUGAUUGUGAGUAUUCUCCUACAGUAGGCGAAUUGAGGCUCAAACACUAUCCCCAUGCUCCAUACGAAGGAUGCUACCAAGCUGUCCCUCGCAAAGCUCAGUUUCUCUCCAAGACCUAUAUCCUUCCACCACCUUCAUAGGAAAAUUAAAACGAAUAUUAUGACUCGUAGCUUUACAAUACAUCUGUUAUAGAGUCAUCUUCUAGUCCGAGAUUCCUUAGAGUGAAUCUCUGGUGCAAACGUCUGUAUUUUAUGAAGUGCAGACUCAGACCUUUACACUACUGUAAAAGGUGUAGUCUGCACCUGAGAAUAAUUUAAUAUGCAUAUGAUCAAUUUGUACAAGUUAUGUAUGUCAUAAACUAAAAUCUUUGAUACAUACAUAAAUAUGAGUUAUGCAACCAAGCAUGGAUACCUUGAAACAUCUUUAAGUUCUUCCUGGUAAAUUGCCUGCAAAACGUUGAAUUCCAACUUAGCGAGCUCAAGUAAAAGGUGGUUCUUGUCCUCUCUUUUCUCAUAAACGUCUAUGAACCACCUUGCCUCUAACAUUGGAACUUUCCAAUGCAGAGGGAGCUCCAGUCCACGCUUUGCUUGUUCUGCUACAAAGACAUCCCCUUGCUUGCUCUUGCUGAUCAUCACUUCUUUUAGAUGUUUACUAGUGAAUUGCCAGGCCUCCUCCAUGAUGCUUUCUCCUUCUAAGCUGAAAUACGAGGCUUCAUGCAAGCUCAUUAUUUCCUUGAAAUCAUUACAAAUGAAGCCUCCCUUGUGUCUUUAAAACCAUUGAAAACGUCUGCAGUGCUCAAUCAAAAAGAACUAUUUCACAAAAUUUUCGCAUACAUAUGCUAAUUAGAGAAUGAUUUAAGUGUCUCAGCAGCCUUGUCGAGUUCGAAUUCUCUGGAGAUAGAGAGUUAAAAAAUUGAUUUGGGUGUUGUCCACUCUUUUAAAUUAAAAAAAAAAAAAAAGGAAAAAAACAGAGAGAUCGAUUCAAAUAUUCAGACCUUGCAUGCGCAUGACAAAAAAAAUCGAGUUUAUGAAAUGUACCUUGACAAACAGGAUAGCCAUGUUGUCUAAGUAGUCUAAACUCGAGAGAGGUUGCAUACAGAUUUUCUUUUCUCCAAUUAUAAUCUUUAUUACUGUUGUAGAUAUUAUGCAAUAUGUUCCGAAUCUCAGUCUCAAAAUGAUAAGCCAAUCCAAGUCUUUGCAAGUUGUCAAUCAGCUCCAACUGAUCCAGAGGCUCGGUUACAUCCUUAUUAAUCGUUGUCAUUACUUUUCCCUUCAGCUCUUCUGCUUGUCUUUUGUAUGUUUCAUCCUGUACAUGAACGGCAUUUAGUUUUUAGUUAUUCAUGGUCCCAAUUUGAAAUGAAUAAUAAUAAAUACCGUAUAGCCGCUAUUCAGUGACUGCAAAAAAUCAUGGUCCCAAAUUGAAGGUUGGUAGUUUGCUGAUCUCCUGUCAACUGUCAAAUUAUCAUAUUUGGCGCUGACAAGGCAUUGGACUGGCUUAUUUAUGGUAAUGAUUCUAGUGGCUGCUCGAUUUGUUGCAAGAGGAGGACAUUUGAAACCAUUUACAGAGGUAAACGAGGUUGAUGGAACAAUGCAAGAAGACAUUGGACAUACAGAUGUAGUGUAAGCUAGCUUACAGUUAUACUUGGCAAAAAUUCUCAAAUUAAUCUAUGGUUUGCGGUUAUGCACAAGGUUAUAUAUAUAUAUAUAUAUAUAGGCAGCGGAGAAGUGCAAGCGAUUUAUUUUUCUUAUUCAUUUUCCCUGAGAUUUUCAAAGCAUGUAAUUUGUAAGUCUUAGUUGGACAAAGAUAUUAUAUUCAUUAAAAAAAAAAAAGGAGUACAUCUUCCCUCUGUUGAGGGAAUUCUAACGUGCCAGCAAGUUCAAAUAUGUACAUUCGCUGGCAUGUUUUUUUUUUUUUUUCCUUAAAGGUAAGGGGGUGGGCAAGCCUAAAUACAGUUUUUACUCCCCUUAUCAUCCACAAAAAUAAACCCGAAUUUUGGUAGAGAUUACAGCUGCAAUGCAACCAACCCGACCACGCCCUUGAGGGGGCUGGCUUGUUGUAUAAUUGUUAUUUAUUUGUCAUUUUUUUUCGCUACAAAUUUUUUUAAAGAGUGUUUCUAUAAGCCAUAUAAUUAUAAUAAAUACACAUAUUAAUGACAAAAAAAAUUCAUAAAUUUAACUUUGCUUACAAAAGUCCUAUUUAUUACAUUAAAAACUUGUUUUACGUACUUACAUAAAAAUAAGAACACGCAAAGUUACAAAGAAUAUCUUAAUGUUAAUCAUUAAUACUCAAAAUAAUCAAAAUUAUAAAAGAAGAUAAAGACCUGUUUUAUUUAACAAAUCUAACUAAAACCUUAUUUGUUAUAGUUAUAAAGUACUUUUGAAAAAAAAAAUUAUAUAUUUCAAAAUAAUUACCAUCAAAAGAUAGAUUGGAUAGGAUAGAUAUGUCUCCCUCAUAUUAGUGAAAAUAGAUUUUUUAGCUCAUGCCUAAGGGCAUCUCGGUUGUACUACAAAUGUAUGUAUCUAAAUAAGGAUAAAUGCUCAUUUAGUCCCUAUAUUUUAAGAUUAGUAUCCAUAUAGUCUCAAAACAUCCCUGCCGUUAAAGUAUUGAUACCCCUACCAUUACUUUUUAUUUCUUUUGACUUGCUUUUACAAUAUUACCCUUUUAUAAUAAUUUUUUUGUGUGGACAUUAAUAAAAAAAUAGUAAUUAAAUUACAAAUUUAACCCUAGAAAAUUAAAAAAAUUAUAUUAAUUUUUUUGUAAGCUGCACACUUGGUAGUUUGUAUACAAUUUUUGACAAUUAAAAAUUAAUAUAAUUUUUUUUAUUUUUAGGGUUAAAUUGGUAAUUUAAUUAUUUUCUUUUUUAUUAAUGUCCAAACAAAAAUAUUAUUAUAAAAGGGUAAUAUUGUAAAAGUAAGCGAAAAAAAAUAAAAAGUAACGGUAGGGGUAUUAAUACUUUAAUGGUAGGGAUGUUUCGAGGUAUUUUUAAAAAUACAAGGACUAAAUGGAUACUAAUCUUAAAAUACAGGGACUAAAUGAGCUUUUACUCUCUAAAUAAUAUAUGUAUAGACUGUAAUAAAGGAAAAUGAGGAUUAACCCUAUCAUUUAGAUAAAUUAAGGGAAAUCCUUUCAUAUUUUAAAAUAGGUCCAAACACCCUACAAUUAUGACCGUAUUAGUUUUAUAUAUCAUUUUACUAUUCUAUCUCUAGUAUUGAUAUUAGUCAUAAAAUUUAAAUAUUUUGAAGAUAUUCUUUUAAGCAAAGUGACUUGUAUUUCCUUAACGAUUAAAUUAAUUUAAUAACAAAUUGCAAAUUAUGGAGAAAAAUUACAAGUAGGGGAAAUGACAUAAUUCCUACUAGUUGUAUAAAUGUGUCCUAAGUGUAUGAAGUCCAAGAUUCUAAAUAAAUCUCUGAAAACAUAAAAUAAAACAAUUGAAGGAAAUAUCCAAAUAUACAUUCAAAUAAAGGACAAAUAGAUAAUUGGACUAAAUGCAAUAAAUUCACCCAGACUACAAAUGAAUAAUAUAUGAUAAAUUAAAGAAAAGAAUCACUAUAGGAAAGGGAUAUAUAAGCAACUACUAACAAAACAAUAAAUUACACGUACUUGCAGCUAUUUGAUGAGAAAUAAUUAAUUAAGAGCAUUAAAUUAGCAUAAGCAAGUGAGCAAACAACAAUUACAAUGGCAACGGUAUGGCCUAGCCUAUGCUUCUCCAAUAAAACAACUGAUCGUGUGCCAGAUUAAGAAGCAAAUUAAAUAUAUCAAACUUGUUACAUUCAUUUAAACAAAUACUUUAUAUAAUUAUCAGGGGUAUAUAUGAUAUUUCCUCUACUUGUAAAUUGUAAUUUUUCUUCAUGUUUUUUAAUAGGUUAAUAAAUUUAUUUAAUUGUUGAGGAUAUAUAAGUCAUUUUGCUUAAAAAAUUCUCAAAAUAUCUAAAUUUUAUGACUAAUAUCGAUAGUAAAAAUAGAAUAGUAAAAUUAUAUAUAAAACUAACACCAUUAUAAUUGUAGUAGAUUUGAAUCUAUUAAAAAGUAAGGAGGGGUUUUGCUUAAUUUUCCUAGACAAAUAGAAGGUAAUCCUCAUUUUCACAUUGUAAUAAUUUCAAAAAAAAAAUCCAUUUAACAACGGUUAGUGAAAGUGCGUUCGAAUUUUUGCAGUAACUAAAAACAAGUCAGAAUUAUGUUAGGAUUAAUCCAUACAAAGAAAACAUCCCAAGUCCUCCGAAGUAAUAAGCAACACACACACACACACAAACACAUAUACACACAUAUAUAUAUAUAUAUUACAAUUUUUUUUUUUUGAUGCGAUAUAGAGUACAAUUUAAUAUUGGUUCAACUACAGAAAUUAAUUGUGCAAGUCAUAAAAAUUAAGAAUGAAGAAAAGGAAAUAUGAACUCAAACCAGAACGCCAAAUGUAGUCAUAUUUUUUCAUGAGGGAAUUCUAACGCGCCAAUGAAUGUGUUUAUAGUAAUCAACGAUGCCGAUAUUUGUUUAUAAUAGUAAUACAGUGAACAGAAACGUGCGGAAGCAUGUGUUUAAUAAUCAACGUUAUAUUUCCAUUUGAGUCAUAGAACACUGGAGAGACUUCCUGUAUAGCCUGACCUUACUAGAAUUUGCAAAUAAAAUGCGAAUGUAAAAUACCAAAACACGUGCGACUCUUCAUCAACAGCCUGUAAAAUACCACUAGAAGAGAUAUUUGCCCCAUUUCCUUGAGAUCAUCUGUCUCGAAACAAAAGAGACUUCAUUGACUUGUAGUCGAAAAUGACAAGAAGGGCAGAAGAGAAAUUUUAGAAAAUCUCUAAUAUACCAUAUCAAUUAUAUAAAAAGUAAAUAAUGAUAUAGUAUAUAUGCAUUUAUUUUAAAGAACAGACAUAUAAUUGGUAGUUAUAUAAAAUUUAAAUAUACAUUUUAUACAUAUAUUAAUUAAACUGAUUUAUGUAUUUUAGUUUAGAAUUUCUCACAACAAAGAACUAGCAUUCAUUUUUUUCUUCUUGGUUUUGCGGCAUCACACACUAUAGUGUAGCACAUGAACCAUAUGCGUAUGAAAAAUUAGACUAGUUGGUAUACGUAAUGUUAAGGAGUCAGAGCCUCUCCUUUUUGACACACUGAUAACAGAGUGCAACCGUGUGUAAUACACAAGCACAUGCGAAGUCAAAAUUAGACUAGUUGGUGUGGGGCUUGUUCAGGAAGCCUUUCUUUUUUUCACAAUAUGAAACAAAUUAUUAACCAUCAAAUCACAGUUUGAUAAGUCUCAUGAAAAAUGAAAAUAAUAUAAAUAAAUGUGACUAAUAUUUUUGUGUCUUUAUUAUCACGAGCCUUGUGGGCAAGGUCGGCUCAAUUAAUUGGGAGCUUUAAGGGAAUUGUUCAAUUAGACCUUUCAAAAAAUUUGAGGUUAAAUAUAUGUAUUAAUUUUACUAAAAAACUAUUUAUUAAAAUCAAAUUUUCUAGCUUUAGAUGUAAAAUUAUUAAUCAAAUUUUUAUAUUAUAAUUUCCUAAUAUAUUUUUCUUAGUAGACAUUAUGGCUAAUCCAUUUACUCUUUCUUGCGACAUUGUUAAUCUCAAAUAAGCUUUUAUCAAUUUUAAUUUUGAAAAACUUCUUUUUGCAUAAGCAACUGCUUGUAGUAUUGUUAAUAAUAUUCUAUAAGUAGCAUAUGCAUUUGGAAAAAAAAUCAAUUUUUUGAAAAUAAUUAAGUAUGUCAAGCGGGGUAAUUUUCCAACUGGUAAAACUUCUUUAAAAAUUCUUAACUCUAAAAACAAAUCUAAACCAUCUAUAUCAGAAAGCAUAUCAUGUUUGUAAAGCAUUUUCAAUAUUAACACAAUAAGUUUUUAAAACAUUGUCACUUAACGAUUGUAAUUUUUUGAAAUUAAACAAAAAUCCUAACAUAUUCUCAUACAUUUGAAAUUGUUCAAAUCUACUUAUUAUUGAAGAAAUAGUUUGAUCUAUUAUGUAUAUAAAAUAAUUAAUUCUGAAAGACUAUUCAAGAGAUAAAAUUCCUCCUUCACCGAUACUUUCAUCAAAAUUGUUUUUUCUACGAAUUAAAUGUUUUUCGUGAAUUUUAGGUUCUAUUUCCAUUUUGGUUGCAAUUUCUUUAGUUAAAAUCAUAAUAGGCACAAAAUCCAUUUUCUCUAUGGCUUUCAAAGAAAGAAAUAAAAACUUUAUGUCGAUCUAUGGCAAUAUAAAUAUGCAUAUGUUUUUUGCAAGAUCUUACAUAUAGAGUUAAUAGCAAAUAAUAUAUCAUACUAAAUAAUCACACCUAAUAUGAAAUUAAAAUUUUUCAAUUCAUAUGUUGCUAAACACAUAGCUUCACUCUUUAUUCUAGAAUCUUCACUAAUUUCUUCUAAUUCAAGUAAAGCAUCUCAUACUUUAUGGAGUUUGAAAUCUUAUUGCUUUCACACUUUCAAUACAACUUUCUCAAUGUAUGUGUCAAAAUAAUUUCACAGUCAAAUUGGGUAUAUUAUUUUGUGAGAUUUUCCAUCACCUCAUUGAAGAAGAAAAAUAAUGAAUAAAUAAGUUUCAUAGCUCCAAAAAAUGAAAUUGAUCUAGGACAAGAAUUAGCCAUGUUGCAAACCACUAAAUUUUGACCAUGACAACCGCUUGAUGUAUAAAAUGCUUUAGAAUUUGUUUAUAAUAUCUUACACCUUGGUGUUUUCCUUUCAUAUUAGAACCAUUAUUGUAUCCUUGUCCUUGUAUAUUAUCAAUGACAAGUUCAAAAAUUUUUAUUAGUUCUAUGAGUUCAUUAAAGAGCUCUUUACCAGUACAAUGGCAAACUUUUAAGAUUCGAAAAAAUAUUCUUCCAUUUCUACUGGAUUUGCUAAAUUAUCUACACAUCUUACUAUAGCAGACACUUGUUCUUGAUGGUUUGUAUCUGAAGUACAAUCAAGAAUAAUUGAAAAUUAUUUUUCUUCUUAUUUGUUAGGGAUUUUAUUAUUCCCAUCAUUGUGUCAAUAAUAUUACAAUUUAUUUAUUCUUUUUAUGAGGGAUUUGUCUAGUCUUGGGAAUUAAUUAGAUUAGAUUAUGUGGAAUAUGGGGGAAUAUUUUUUGAGGCAUAAAGAAGCAAAUCAGCAUAUAAGUAGGAUUACAUAUUAAAGAAUUCUAAAUAAAGAUGAUCAUUGUAUUGGUAAGUAUAUUAAGUAUUUAUGGAAUAUUAGACUCUAAAAAAAAUAUAUGUUCUAAUGAAAUACUGCACAUAUAUAAAGGGAAGUAUUUCACACAUUGAAGACUGAAGAAGGCAUUUCUUAUUUUAUAUUAGGGAAAUAGCCAAUGCAAAGAAUGAGAAGAAAAACUAUUUCGUCACAUAUGAGGUUUCAUAUCUCUAUAAUGUUUUAAUCUUCUUCAUAUCAAGCAUUUCAUUAGACAUUCUUUAUUAUUAUUUGGUUUUUUCGGAAUGGAGAGGUCAUUUGUUGUGUUGAGGGAAUCUCAAGGAAGUAGCAAAUACAAUUGAAGAUGAGUGGUGCUUGCUAAACACGAUUGACUAGGUAGAUUCAACAAGGUGGUGGUAAGAGCAAGAGAGAGUCUGAGACUAUAGAAAUUAAGGGCUUAUUCGGAUCAAUUUCAACAACAAGACGACCAAAUUUGCCUCUGGAUGCGGAUUCAGUGUUGUAAUCAAUUUUAAAAACACUCCCGAAAAUUUGUCCCAACAUUCGGAGAAUUUUCUUAUUGUAGUAAUGUAGGGCCAUGCCUGGUAAGCGGAUCCAGGCUAUAACAUAUUCAAUCACUGUUGGGUAUAAGAGGCUUUGCACACAACUCUGUAGAAUUGCAGAAUAAUUCUUAUUUGAUUCGAAUGCAAAAUAAUUGACUUAUAGUCGUACAAAAGCAGGGGAAGAAAACUGAAAAACAAACUACCCAUUUUCCACUCUAACAGAUCGUGAAUCAUGGAGAAGAAAUAUUUAAGCUAACAGUUACUUUCCUAAUAAAUAGGAUUUAUUUAAGGCAAUUAAAUAGCUAAACCUGAUGACUCAACAAUCACUGCUGCCGAACUAUCAAAAUGGGGAGUCCAUGGCUUCACUGUUAGAUAGUGCCCCAGAAUAGUCUAAGGCCCUUGCGCCAAAGCGAACUCCACAUCCCUCUCUGUUCUGAAACGAACAAGAUAAUAAUCAUUCUCAAGGUCAAUUCCAGAAAGCCCUUGGGUCGAGCUCCAGAUGGUUUCCAAGCGGUUGCGCAGCGUCCGGUAACCUAUGCGACGACCCAAAAGCUUGACCACCACCGUGUAUUGCCAUGGUUUCAUUAGUUGAGCAUGUACUUUUCUGUGAAAAAAAAAUGGAGUGAAAAUUGUCUGCACACUCAAAAACCACAUCUUCCGGUUCAACUGCCAAAUCUUCCCCGCUAUCAAAAAAUACUCCUUCAUCCACCCUUUGUGUUGACAUCAGUUUAUCACGAAAGGAAGGAGGCUGAGGAUUGUCACCAUCUUCCCCUUCAGCCUUAAAUCUUGCUUUGUUUGUGGAACGGUCGUCAGCCAUAGGUGGAUUAGGGUUUUUCUCCAUUUCAAUCUUUCCUCACAUUAGGAACUCAUUUUUUUUUAAUUGGUUAUAUUUACUUUUUGAUUCUUGUAACUUUUUUCUUUAAAUGCCACCGCUCUUAUUUCUAUCCUCAUUUAACAGACUGCGGGUUGCGUUUGUCACUGUUAGCUGCACAUUGCCAUUUUUCAUGAGUAUGAUUUGCCGUAUGCAUGGAUACUGAAAGUAUCCCUUGUGCUAAAAAUGCUAUGAACCAUCCUUGAAUAAUCAAGUAUAACUGCAUGCAGAACAAAUUCAGCCGUUCUCACGUUUUAGCUAGCAAAUAAUUAUCUUGUAGGAAUUAGAAUGAGCCUGACUUAAGUAUUUGCAUAUCCUGAAGACUUUUAUUCCCAAUAAAAGUAACAUAUAUAUAUAUAUAUAUAUAUAUAUCAUUUCUUUUUCAUUUAUAAACCUUGAUGAAUGAGGGAAUUUAUUUUAUUAUCGAAAAGAGAUCCCUCAGAAAAAAGAAAAGCGGAGGCCAACAUCAACUGAAACUGCACUCUCUGGGAAUUCGCAACGCAUCGUGCAUUAUAAUUCAUCAUCAGCCUUUGGUGCCAGGAGAUGCUGUGAAAGCCAUGUCUUUGUCCUCCAAGGGAAUGGGCUGAAAAAGCAAUGUAAAGCCGACAUCGAUAGUCUCUUGGUUUUGAACACCAUGCCCAUCUCCAUGUAGAUACAUAAAAUGGGACAUUCGCACAAGAUUCAAGAGGAACUCAGCAGUUGUUCGAGUCAAGGGAGAGUCUUUAUCGGCUGUGUAUGCAUUCACCUUCUUCCACAUCUGUCUCAUCAUAUCCUUGAUGUGUUCACGAGCAACUUCCUCCGAGGCACCAGUUUCAUGCAUGUAACACUGGAUUGAUUUCGGAACAUCCCCUCUCUGUAUCUCGUCCUGAUGAUUAUUGGGGAAAAAAAAAAUACAAUCAAUUCAUAUAUAGAGGAUUAAUUCAAUUGCUGUCGUCUUAAAAAAAAUAAAUAAAAAAAGACAUACCGAUGAAGUUCCCAAAUCAUCUUGCAGACGGAAAAUCUUGGAUGACCAGUGAACUAUAUCUGGAUUACUUUCUAGAAAUUCCAGUUCCUUCUUAAUGAUUGGAUUUGUACCAGAAAGAUAUGAAAUCGUUAUAAUUAAAGGGCCCGUUAUUGAUACCAAUCCAUUUUCCAAGUAUUCUUCCAGUUUCGGUGUGUACUUGCUAUGGUACCAUUUCGCCUCCACCAAGUAGGCUUGUAUUAAGCCAAGCCACUGAUGCACAUGGCACAGAAAAUAUACAACUAGUUACGGUUUAUAAUUUUUGAGAAAAAAAGAACAUCGUAAUUUAAAAAGGAUAAAUCAGAGGAAAGGAACAGGGAGAGGCGCCAAAUUAAUAUUUGACGUACUGCAUGUUUUAUGCUCAGAAGCAUAUCAAAAUCCUGUUGUUUGAGAACGUAAUAAGCAAAUUCAUUAACAAAGUUGUAAAGGGCAAGAAAACACAUUUUCAUAUAGCCCGGAAGGUGCUUCAAAGCAUAAUUGAUGUCCCACCUGCAGAAAAAAAAAAUCACAUAAACGGUCUAUUAAAUUGAGAAGUACCAUGCAGCUAGGUAGCAGUUGAAUUGUUAAUUUGCCAACAAACCUCGCAACAGCAUCAGUGAAUAUCUCAAGUUCAUCCAAUGUUCCAUAGACAUCAUAAAUGUCAUCAAUCACUGUAAUUAGGGCUAUCGAGAUUGUGAGCACUCUCCUGCAGUAGGCGAAUUGAGGCUCAAACGCGAUCCCCAUGCUCCAUAAGAAGGACGCUACCAACCUGUUCCUCGCAAAGCUCAAUUUCUCUCCAAGACCUGUAUCCUUCCACCACCUUCAUAGGAAAAUUAAAACGAAUAUUACGACACGUGAUUUAUAUAUCUGUAUAUAUAGAAUCAGCUUUCUGUCUGGAAUUCUGAAGAAUAUUUCUCUGAUACAAGCAUCUCAUUUUAUAAAGCACGUGACUUGUGGCUUUACAAUGCAUUUACAUAUAGAGUUAUCUUCUAGUUCGAGAUUCUUUAAUGCAAACGUUUGGAAUAAUUUAAUAUACAUUUAUAUAAAGUGUAGGCUGGUGCCUUUAUACUGCUGUAAAAGGCGGAGUCUGCACUUGAGAAUAAUUUAAUAAACAUAUGAUUAAAUUGUACAAGUUAUCUAUUCGAUAAAAUCAAAUCUUUGCAAUAUAUAUGAGUUAUGCAAUCAAGGCAUAGAUACCCUGAAAUGUCUUUAAGUUCUUCCUGGUAAAUUGCCUGCAAAGUGUUAAACUCCAACUUAGCGAGCUCAAGUAAAAGGUGGUUCUUGUCCUCUCUUUUCUCAUAAACGUGUAUGAACCACCUUGCCUCUAACAUAGGCACUUUCCAAUGCAGAGGGAGCUCCAGCGCCCGCUUCGCUUGUUCUGCUACAAAUACAUCCUCUUCCUUGCUGUUGCUGGUGAUCAUCAUUUCUUUAAGAUGCUUACUGGUGAAUUGCCAGGCCUCCUCCAUGAUGCUUUCUCCUUCUAAGCUGUAAUACGAGGCUUCAUGCAAGCUCAGUAUUCCCUUGAAAUCAUCACAAAUGAAGCCUACCUUGUCGUCUUUAAAACCACUGAAAACCUCUGCAGUGCUCAACCGAAAAAAGAAAUUAUAUUCAUCAAAACUUUUACACAUAUAUGUUAAUUAGAGAAUGAUUUAAGUGUCCCCAGCGGCCUUGUCGAGUUCGAAUUUCUCAGGAGAUAGAGAGUUAAAAAAUUGAUUUGGGUUUUGCCCACUUUUUUACAUUUAAAAGGAAUGAAUAAGAUAAACAGAGAGAUCGAUUCAAGUAUUCGGAUCUUGCAUGUGCAUGACAGAGUAAGCGAACUAAUGAAAGGUACCUUGAGAAACAGGAUAGCCAUGUUGUCUAAGAAGUCUGAAUUCAAGGGAGGUUGCAUACAGAUUUUCUUUUCUCCAAUUAUAAUCUUUAUUAUGGUUGUGGAUAUUACGCAAUAUGUUCCGAAUCUCAGGCUCAAAAUGAUAAGCCAAUCCAAGUCUUUGCAAAUUAUCAAUCAGCUCCAACUGAUCCAGAGGCUCGGUUACAUCCUUAAUCGCUGUCUUCACUUUUCCCUUCAGCUCUUCUGCUCGUCUUUUGUAUGUUUCAUCCUGUAC